UAUCACUGAAUUCAUCGUCAAAUGAAGUCUCCAAAAAGAUUAUGCUUUUUUAAGCACAUUACACAAUUUCAUAGUGGCAUAAUCUUUACUUAAACCAGAGCUAGUAUAAAGUUGGGUCAUCUAUUUUGAAGCGGAGACAUCCUAAUCUGUUUUCUCUCUUUUUGCCGGGAAGAGCUAGUACAUGAUCGAGGGAAGCUGCAAAACUAAAUAGUACUAAAUAAACCAUUGUGCAAAGUGAAGUGAACAACAAAGUUCAAGUUCAGCAUUUCAGUUUGUAGCUCUGCACAGAUGUGCAUCCAGCUUUACUGACAUGAUAUCUGCAUAUACUUACAAUAUUCAUGUAGUCGCAACAAGUCGAAAACAAAACAAAAUACAGGGCACGUUUGAUCACACGUGAUGAUCGUCACAUUCAGGUUACAACAGAGAUCCAACAACUCGGUGGUUUGGGUAAUAAUAGAUCAGUCUGCGAGUGACAAGGGCGCCAUCUGCCAAGUUGUGUAUCAUACAUUAACAUUACCAAAUGGACUAUUAUACACAUGCCAGCACAGCGGUUCUCUUCUACGACCUCACUUUGGCCAGCCUCUCCCUUAUCUUUUCUAGAUCAUCCUCGUCGUCGUCAACGGAUUCCGCUAGAGCAGUUCUCUGUGCAUGCGAUGGAAAGAUCCUUGUGAGGCGUUUCAAGACUCCAAAGAGACUUCAAGAUUGCAAAAUGUGAAGGGCAAGCACGGGUCGUAUUGUAUUAGUACCUGUGCGGGUUCGCUUGUCGAUGGUUGUGUGACCUUCUCUUUUUGUUUGCGGACGGCAUCAGGAAGCUGGGACGCAGUCUCCCCGGCGAUUGCGGAGAGGACCUUAUCAACCUCCUCCUCGAUCUCCUCCUCCAUGCCCUCAUCGUCCAGUGCUGAAUCCAUGGCAUCAUUGACCAUCUCUUCCAUCACGCCGGCCUGCAUUACAAAAACCAUUUAGCGAGAACCGGUACCAGUACAAAACACAAGAGAGACCUUCAAACGAGGACUUUUGUUAUAUACCUUUGUCAUCUCUUUGCUGAAUUCCUGCAUGGUGACAGCUAUCUCUGGGGCCUUCAUCAGAUUGUUCACAAGCUUCAUCACUUCGGUGCUCUUGGACAAAUGUCCUACCGUCCUGGUGGUAGCUACAAGAUUAUAAAGCACAGCAUGUCGUUAGUACAAACCUUCAGUCUGAAUGAACGAAAGAAACCUAAUCCUACUUCUCCAUAAGUUAAGCCAUGCCAUAAUAACUUCUAGGAAAGCACCAAGGAAUGGUACAUGUUAAUUUCAGUUCAAGUCUUAUGUUCAAAAAACAAAAUGCAAGUCAAAGAAUUCACAAGCAAUACCACUUGCAAGUAGGCUGUCUGGUAUGUAUUCACAAGCAAGUAAGAUUAACUACCAGCUAGGAACAAAAUCUCCAUAUUAAUGUGCACAUUAGUAUCUUUCAUGUAUUUAUAACUUCUCCCCCUGGCCCUAGUCCUGAUCCACAUAAACUUGAAGCCCGAUACAGCAGAGGUUAAUUUUGCAUCUAGGUGUGGAAUUUCAGCCAGAACUAUGAAUAUUAGCGCAGAUUUUUUGAGCUGAGAAGAGUAGGAGAGGCUCCUACUGUGCUAUACUCCCUCCCUUCCAAAAUAGAUGACUCAACUUUAAACUAACCUUAGUAUAAAGUUGAGUCAUCUAUUUUGGAACGGAGGGAGUAGUAAAUAAAGGUUAUCUUUGCAUCUUGGAGGCUAUAUCUAUACCAAUGAACAGCACACUGUAUUUGGAUGCUAUCUAUACUAGUAUGGAACAAUUCGAGGUAGACAAUUCGAGGCAGGUGUAAAUUACUAAAUGUCACCAUGCUAGAAUGCCAUCUAUCUACAGUAGAAAGGAUGAUAUGAGGCAGGCGGCGUCGAUUUAUAUUACCGACGAUCUCGCCGAGGUGCAUGGAGAUGGAGUUGAGCUGGGCCUUGUUCUCGUAGAGGCGGUUGACGGCCUUCCUGGACUGCACCAGCUCCUUGGCCAGCGCCUUGAGGAGGAGAAAGAAGCAUCACCAGCAGCAGUCAGCAGAGGAGACAGACAAAAUCGGUAAAUCCGGCGCCCAAAUCGCUCCAUGGCGCAGGCAGAGUAGAGUAGGAGGAUAUGUACUAGGUACCUUGGCGGAUCCCAUGUCGCCGCGCCUGGCGGACUCCUUGAUGGCCUUCUCCACCUUCUUCUCCUCCUUCUGCACGUCUGCGCCCCCACACACACCCCAAACCAAAAUCCACCCAUCAGUUGACCGUAUAGAGCCCUAGCUUGGAUCGAAUCGGGAGGAGGAACAAGGGGGAACCUCGGAUCUGGCGCUCGAUGUUGCGGCCCUCGUUGCGGAGGCGGCGCUGCCACUCGCGCAGCUGCUGCUGCGGCGUCGGCUUCGGCUUCAGGAGGCUCUUCACCGCCUCCAUCGCCGGCGGUUCGCCUCGAUCGAUCCACCGGAAGCAGAGGCAGAGGCAGUGGGGAACCAACCAACACGCCGAUGCCGAAGGAGGAGUUGCUCCCAGCUGCUAUUUCUUUUUUUCUUUUUUUCUUUUGAGGAAUCCAAUACGGGCGAGCUAAUCGGGCCAGCCCAGCCCAUUAGGGGCAGUCCCUCGCUGUGCUCCGGUUUUUUUCCUUUUCCUUUUUCUUUUGUUUUUUCACAGCUUUUUUUAUGCCUUUCGUGGCUAAAUACUGUUUGCUUAUCGUCUUUCCUCGUGUUUUUCUUCCUUCUUGUUUUAUCGGGGUUUCUUAUCAGCACGUGUAUAUCUUUUUCAUCAGCGUCGUCCAUUAUUUUCGUAUAUAGGAGGAACAUUUUUGUUGUGCUCAUUAAAAAAUAUUAAAUAAAUGCUUCAGAUUUUUUGGAAAUAUUUUUUUUCAUGUAUACUCUGUUUUAUACACAUUGUACAUUUUUAAUAUACAUCUAAAACAUUAUAUAAUAUUUCCAAAAAAUAUAUGUUUCAAAUUAAUAAAUACGUGAUUUCACAUUUUUUGAAUUGAAUAUUUGUUUUUGAAUAGGUGCUAAGCAUUUCUUUCAAAUAUACGCUGACACAUUUUUCGAAUGAUAAAAACAUUUUCUUACCUUAUGUAAACAUUUUAUUACAUUUGUAUAAGUAUUUUUUCAAAAUUCGGGAAACACAUUUUUGAAAAUGUAAUUUACAUUUUUUUAAUGUAUGAAACAUUGUUUCAAUUACACGAACAUUUUUUUAAUUGUCAUGUUCAGUUUUUCUAAGGUGUGUCUUUUUUUUAAAAAAUGUGAUAAACAUUAUGGUGAAUGUGGGUGAAUCAGUUUGUCAUAUGUGAAAUUGUGCACCCCGCCAUACAUUAUCAAAUGGACUAUAUUCAACACAUCAGCACAUCAGUUCUCUUUUACGACCUCACUUUGCCCAGCCUCUCACUUAUCUUUUCUAAAUCAUCCUCGGGCUGCAUUCAUUUAGCGGAUCGACACCAGAGCCAUGACUACUCCGUAGCACGCAAACGGUGCACCGUGGGAUUUGUUUAUCACUCGUACUGUUUCGGUAACCAAUAGGUGGGCUAACCUAGCUACUCGUACUGUUUCGGUGUUUCACACAGUUGUAGGAGAGUGUGUGUAUCGUGUGCAAGCAAUAAACAAGUUAAUGUUCUUGAGUGUGGGCCAGUGCCGCCAAAUUGGGCAGGUUUGUUCUCCUGUACAUGUGGGCCGCUACAUCACUUAAAUGAAUCGCCAACUCCACUGGCGGUGCGAAUGAAGAUGCAUAUAAGUAUGCAUAGGUCAACAAUUUUGGUAGGUUCAACCUCCUUUUCAAAAAAAAAAUUGGUAAUAUGAAUAUGAAUAGAUUAUAAGGGGUGCUAGCUAGCUAGGGCUAACGGCGGCUCAACAAACACGUACCAUUGCGUCAACAACAAAAGAAAACGAGCAGGACAUAAAAGACCACUAACUUGUUUCAUAAUCACGAUGAGAAUGUUUAGUCAUGACGGAGCAGGAUAUCCAAAACCAUGGAAACUAUUUGAAGAAAACGAAAACACGAUAGAAGAGAAAUCAGAUCAUGAGAUGAGAUAGGCGCCAAAUGGCCCACUGAUUGGAAUUGAGAACGACAAUCCAAGAAAAGAAGAAGACGAAGAGGAUGACACGACACUUUUUUUUAUUUUUGCGGGAACGACGACGACAUAAGCUAUAGCUUAGUUGCAGUGCAGCACCAAUGAGAAACAGGGUGAGACGGUGAUGCAUGAUCAGGUAGAUGUACGUGCGAGCUCAAUGCAACAUCGACCUCGAUCGAAUAUGUAUGACCAUUUUCGCACGCCACAUUCGGUUUAGCGGAUGGGCACCAGAUCGAGCCCAGCACGCAAACGACGGAAUUCGAUUAUCAAUAAGUGCGGCGAAAGGUAGCAACAGUGGAAGCCAAUAGCCUCAUCAUCGUGUACAAUAAAACAAGUUGAGUGUCGACCACUGCCGCCAAGUUACUUCUCCUGUUGGCGCCACGGGGGAGCGGGGCCGACCACGACCAGGGUCACCACUAGAGCCACGUCACUGGAUUAGUUUGUUAAAAUCAAUUCUUGAACUUGACCGGUGGUGCAAAAUGAGCUACUCGGAUGCAUGAAUAUACGGUUAGCCACGUAUGUACUUAGGCCUCAUUUGGUUCAUAGAAUAGGAAUUUUAUAGGAAUAGAAAAAUCAUAGAAAAUAAGAUGGCAUGCAUCUCAAUUUCUAUAGAGAAAGAGAUGUCAUUUGAUGCAUAGGAUAUGAAUUUUUUUCAUUGAGUCUAGGCUAAUGUUUUCUUUCCUCCAAAAUAUGAAGGAUUGAUUCCUAUCCUAUGUAGAAAUAGGAAUCCGUUCCUAUAAAUCAAAAAGCUUCAAAGAAUUUUUUUCUUUGCAAAUCCUAUCGAGUUCCUGCAAAACCAAAUGAGGCCUAGCUAGCUAGCUAGGGUUGGUGACGGCUCAACAAACAUGUAUCCGUAUACAGCGAACAGCGAAAGAAGAUGUCCGACGGUCCAGAGCACUGCUCCAGCAGCAUCCACGCAUGCAUGUGCAUGGAGCUUUUCUUUUAUGUAUAUAGAGCUAAAUUAUGUAUAGUAACCCCGUGGACUCUCGCACGUUCUUCCAAAGGCAUGUCCAAAUCACCUUCUGAGAUCCAUCCGUGCAAAUGGACUUAAUUAAUCAGGUGCACACAUGCAUCUACAGGACGCGAAGAUUCACAUAAUCUCAUCAAACUCUCCACAUCUGGACGUGUUUUACCAUCCAGCAUGGUCCGUAUCUGUUCGUGGAUCGUUCCGAACUUCCGUUUUUCGUACGUGACUGUUGACCGAGCUUCCAUCUAGACGAGGCAGCGUAUUUCCAUCGCACGUUCUCAGAGAAUUCUUAUCAGGUGUUACGCGGCUUCCCUUUUAAACAGAACAAAUUUCAGCUCCCUAAGCGGUAUGGGACUAAUAAGUUGGUACUAGCGUUUCAGAACAGGCAAAAAAAUAAAAUAGCCUUCGCUAUAAUUCGAACCGCCAACAUGAGAUUUCCCAGGAAGCAUCGGCCUUGCAACCAACCCGCCAUUAUGACUUGUUGUUACAUGACAUGGUUGGUAAUAAUUUUAUAUUCACUCCUGGUGGGUUGCAAGUGCGUGAGGCAGGUUACUAAAAUAUUCCAUGUAACAGGGUCUAUUCCGAAAUUUUAACUGAGAUCGCGAGGCAUUUUGCCUUGGAAUGCCUAGUGGCGGCAGUUUUCGGAAGUGCCCUCUUUGUUUGAACAUAUUACAGCGUGUUGGAAAAGUGCCUCUAAAUCUGCAUUGGCGUUUUAUGAAACGCCCCAGAUUCUACUACUCCCUCCAUCCGGGUUUAUUGGGCUUACCAGCAGAAACUCGGGUACCAAGGAAAACAAUUAAUGUUGAUGGCGCAUGAUUUAACGCUGAGAACACAUUAUUCGGAGCAUGCAAUGGCCAACCAGAGCAGCGCGUAGUUAAGGCAUGCAGCUGGUGGCACGCUUCGCCUCUCUAUGUGGCCAAUGACGCCCUAGUGGAUAGUUAUGGCAUGGUGCAUGCAGCUAAUAAGGCGGAUGUGUAACCAAUCCUGCGCGCAUGCAAUGGAGUUAAUCGAGGGAAAUUAAGUGCGUCUUGUUUAGAGGCCUUACAAAAACGGUACACGGUUAGUUUGCUUAAGGGCCUAAUAAACCCGGAUGGAGGAAGUACAUAUUACGACACUUAGGCUGGUCACAAUGGGCAAGAACAUAAGCUAGUAACUUACACACUUCUCUAGACUAUGUUACUAUCUUCAUAGUGGGUAGGAACAUCUAUGUAGUGUCAUGCAACGAUGUAUUUAUUAGGUUAUAGACUCAUUGUUUCUUGGAGUGUGUGAUGUUCCGGUAACUUAGCUAGUUACCACAAGCACCUCUCUCUUCAUUAAAUAUGUGCCACAUAAGCAAAGUUGUAUUGAAGUGUGUGAUGUUACUCCUAAGUUCCUCCCCAUUGUGACUAGCCUUAUCAGAAUGCCCUCAAAUACCACUAUUUUGAGGCACACUUCGUAAACGCCGUGCUAGCAUUGGACUUUUGAAGGCAUUUUUCAACAACGCCUCUAAGGAAGCUAACCUGAGGCGUUUAAGAAAACACCCUUACCAAAAUGCCUCUAAUUAAUGUCCGUGUUGUAGUGCGUCCGACAGCUUGAACCCACCCAAAUCCCUCUCCCGAACUUUCUCCCAUUCCUGCUUGAGGCGGUCAGCGCCGCUCCCAAGCAUUGUUGCGGCAUUCGUGCCGGCCCAAAGAGGGCACGACCUCUCUCCGGAGCCGACAUUGAAGCUUCGUGCGUGCAACAUGUUUUUGUGAAUGAACCGAGCUCAGACCUAUGUCAUGUGUGCGCUUUAUUUUUGCUGGUCAGAAACAAUUAAUUGGUGAGAUAUAUUCGAGCUGCUAAUGGAAGUGCCACUGUACAAGAAUUUGGAUUGUGGGCUGUUUGCCGACACGGUCGUCGGCCUAAGCCCAAUCCCAUCCCAUGACUCCCUAUCAGGUGACUUAUAUAUUGGAGGCGUUAGUCACUCAAGCCGACACACUCAGUUCCUCCUCGCCAUCUACUGUUCCACUCAGUAUUGCUGCUUUCGGUGAUCCCGUCACAUCGACCAUGUGCAUGGCCGUUUGGGUGAGCAGGCCUCCGAAACCCCAUCCUUUGUGAUCUUGCACCGGGAGAAUGGUGAUGACAGUUUUGGGGAGUGUCUCGGUGCGACCGCUCUCUGUUUGUCUUCGUCCUCGUCCUCUACUUCCCCUACACCAACACCAUGGCUGCCGCCGCCAAGAAGAAGAAGGCCGCGGAUGAAGCCCUAGUCGUCGCCGUUGCAUUAGGCUGGCCUACUGGACGGUAUAAUUAGUUCAUCACAUAUUUACGCAUUUAUGUGCUAGCCGUAUUUACUGUGUUCAUAGACGUUUCUGUUCUAUGUUUGGUACGUGAUCAUAUGUUUAGAUUUCAGCAUGAGCUUCAUACUCUUAAUGCCAUGUUCAUGAUCUAUUUAUGGAUUAAGUUAAUCCGAAUAGUGCUAAUAUACCUAGCAGUUUCUUACUCAACGUAUUAUUCGGAAAUUUGGCAAUUCUACGUACUCCAUUAUUUUUGUUUUAUUAGGGGCAUCUUGAAAAUCACAUCAACCAAAGAGGAUAGAUUUAAGUGCUAUAGACAACAUAUUGAUGCUACAUGCGUGACUCUCACUCCUUCAUGCAUCAUUUGAUUUUAUUUCUACAUUGAGAACAAAAGUUUGACAGAAUUUAAUGUGAACAUAGAUAUAGUUGCAUGUUCCCAAGACAAUGAUCCUUACAAAUAGAAAAAAAAUGUCUUGUUUCUAAAAUAGGCCCUUUAAUCCAGAAGAGAGGUGGUAUAGUUGGAUUGUCUUAAAACCCUUUUUAACACAUAUUUUUUAUAUAUUCUAACAUGCAAUAUAAUUUUAUACGAAAAGGUCAAUAACAACCUUACAGAGAUUAAAAAAUACAUCCAAAUCAUUGGCGGUGCCAGAGUCUUCUUUCUACUACAUCUACCGGCUGCUUUGGGUGAGAAAAACUCGGAGACUUAUCUCGGCAUCCCUCUCAGCGGAGGAAACUUGUUUAAAGAGAGAAGUUUGUACGAGUAGCGGCCUAACUGCCUACUCUUGUAAAUAAGAACUUAAUCAUCAUAAGAAAAUUUAAUGAUGACGGAGCAUGAUAUCCAAAACCAGGGGAGCUACUUGAGGAAAAUGAAAACAGUAACAGGGAAGCGAGAUAAAAUCAGGUCAUGAGACGAACUAAUAAUGAAAUUGAAAACAAGAGUCCAAGAGAGAAGAAGAAGAAGAAGACACAAGGUAGCUGCUGUGCUGGAGUAAUGCGAAACAGGGUGAGACGGUGAUGCAUGCAUAACGAUGAGGUGGAUGUAGUACGAGCUGAAUGCAACAUCGAUCUCGAUCUCAUAUAAGAAUUUUCGCACGCUACAGUCGUUUAUCGGAUCGGACACCACAGUCCUUCAAGUGUGAUGCGAGGAAGGUGAUGUGAUUCUCAGCAACAGUGGUAGCGAAUAGCCUAAUCAUCGUGUGCCGUAUAAGCAAGUCAGGUUCUCGAUCGAGUGUCGGCCAGUGCCGCCAAAUUACUUCUCCUUACAAAAACUAGACUAGGGCGCGCCCGACCAAACCAGUGUGAGCACGUGGAGCCACCACUACAACACGUACGUCAUUAGGAGGCAUUUUAUUAGCGGCGAUUUCUUAAAAUGCCUUAAAAUCAUGGUACUAACGGCACUUUGAGAAAGUGCCUCCGAUGCUCACGUGCUUUGAAGGUGAAUUUAGAAAAUGCCUCCGAUUGUUGCUGGCGUUCCGGUGGAUAGCGCCUCCAAUGCUUGGCUUAUUAUACAGAUUUGACCCUUGAUUUUAGACUAUUUGCAAAAUAACCCUCCCACCUCUGUCUUCUAUAGGUGACCAUCGAAAUAAUAAAAAAUAAAAAACAAAAGAUCGACUCGAUCUGCUCGCAUCGGCCGCUUGGGGCGUCGUCGCUGCCACCGGAGCCUCCGCCACCGGUGUCCCACACCGGAGCUGCCGCAGGCGUAGCGGCCGCCGCGGCGCCGCGGCCGGCAACGCCAUCCCGCGCUGGACCUCUUCUUCUCUCCUUCGCGAUCUCGCGGUGGGAUUGCAGUGACCGAGUGAAGGAGACCCAAAGGAGAGGGGAUAUCCAGGCACCGGAGAGGAGGCGACGGAGGAGGAGGAGGAGGAGGAGGAAGAAGGUGGCCUCGCACGCAUCAGCUUCAUCCUUCCCAUGCCAGACUCGCCCACGUUCUGUUGCUGUUCUUGAUCCAACGCUCCGGUGCACACAAGGUGUUUGAGGUAAUGCCCCUGAAUUUUUCUACUUCAUUUUACUUCCCUUUUGUGUUUGUGCUAGAUGUUCUGUAUGAACAAUCAUUUUGGCACGACAUUGUGCAGUUUGACUAUUGUUGGAGAAGCACUGAACUGAUCAAUACAUGUAGCUUAGUACUAUAUAUAACACUAAUUACUGGCACUUGCACAAUAAGCUAGUUGUACUCCCAGAAGUAGUGUGCAACAACGACAAGGAACAACCGAAAGUUGAUUUGUUAUUUUUGCUAGUUAAACUGACACUGCUUCUAGAAAUUCCUCUUUGCUUCUGCUCACAUUCAAAUAUUUAUUAUAGAAUUUUUAUGUGGCCUCUGCUUUAGUAUGUUACAUAACUUCUUCUAAGCACCUCAUGUUGAAGAACUUGGUUUUGUUCAGUUGAGAAUGGAUAGGAGUUGGAUGCGAGCAGCAAGGUCUUCCGCCGAGUAUUCUGAAGGAACUAGCAACUUCAUACAAUUUGCUUUCCGUGAGUCAGCAAAAAAUAGUAGGAUUCUCUGCCCUUGCAAGAUAUGUGUAAACUCUCGUUGGUUAGGUGAGCAUGAAGUCUAUGAUCAUUUGAUUUGCGAUGGAUUCAUGUCCGGAUAUACCAUAUGGAUUCACCAUGGAGAAAGUAUGCGGCCCUCCGAAGCAAUUACUGCUCCUAGUUCACAGUUUGAAGAAUAUGCUGAUAGUGAUGAGAUGGAUGAGAUGCUACUAGAAGGAUUUGGAAUGUACGAUACUCAUACUUUAGGAGAGGAGCAAGAGUCUGAAGAUGAUUUGGACGAUGAUGCUGAGGCAUACUAUAGAUUAGUUAAUGAUGGACACCAAGAGUUGUACCCAGGUUGCAAAAGAUUCUCGAAGCUGCAAUUUUUGGUGAGGUUGCUUCAUAUCAAGAAUAUGAGGGGAAUGAGCAAUGUAUGCUUUGAUGAGGUAUUGACGCUAAUUAAGGAGGCACUUCCAGAAGGUCAGGCGUUGCCCAAAAAUUUUCAUGGGGCCAAAAAGUUUAUGAAAGCCAUUGGUAUUGGAUAUGAUAGUAUAGAUGCAUGCAAAAACGAUUGCAUUCUAUUUAGGAAGGAACAUGCUGAUGCCAUAUCAUGUCCAGUGUGUGGCACAAGUAGAUGGAAGAGCGUAAAUACUGGAGUUGAUGGAAGGCGUGUCCACAAGGUGCCUCAAAAGGUGGUUCGUCAUUUCCCGCUAAAGAAGAGACUCCAAAGGUUGUUCGCUUCUACAAAGACGACAUCAGAUAUGAGGUGGCACAGCGAAGGCCGCACAAAGGACGGCUUGAUACGACACCCAGCUGGUUCACCUGCAUGGAAACACUUUGAUGCUAUUCACAAAGACUUCAGUUCAGAAGUUUGCAAUGUUAGAUUUGGAUUGGGAGCUGAUGGUUUCAACCCUUUUGGAAAUAUGAAUCUCUCAUAUAGCAUAUGGCCUAUCGUCUUGAUCCCCUACAACCUUCCUCCAUGGAUUUGUAUGAAGCAAUCAAACUUUAUCCUCUCUAUCAUCAUUCCUGGUAAAAAAUCUCCAGGGAAAGACAUGGAUGUUUACAUGCAGCUGACCAUAGAUGAUCUUUUGGAGCUUUGGAAUGAUGGAGUCUGGACUUAUGAUGCCUCUCGAUCUAAGAAGUUUCUCUUACGUGCCGCACUACUAUGGACAAUAAGUGAUUGGCCUGGGCGUGGAUCUUUGUCUGGAGAAAAUAUAGCAGUUUGCUCCCAUUGUCUAUCAGAGACAUGCUCUCUUUGGUUAAAGAAUGGACACAAGAAAUGCUAUAUGGGACAUCGCAGAUUCUUGGAACCUAAUCACGAGUUUCGAUUUGAUGCUGAGUCAUUUGAUGGUUUUGAGGAACAUCGAGAGCCUCCCGUUCCCCUUUCAUCACAUGACAUUUCAGUAUUGACAAAGGACAUGAAAACUACGUAUGGGAAGCUGCAGCAGAAGAGCAGCAGGAAGCGACACCGUAAUCAGGUAGAUGAGAAUGAUGCAAGCAUGCAGCAAGACACUUCAAUAUUCAGAAAGAGAAGUUGCUUCUUUCAGCUGCCAUACUGGGAAACACUUCUAUUGCGUCAUAAUCUGGAUCCUAUGCACAUAGAGAAGAAUGUGUUUGAGAACAUGGUGAUGAAACUGAAUCGGAAGAUGAAGAAGGUGAGUCUGGACAAGAAGAUGAACAUGAAGAAGAAGAGGAAGUUCGACAAGAACAGGAGAAAACACAUGGUUAGUUCUGAGGGCAUAAAAGAAUUUACAUGUGCUUGUUUUGCAUGGGCCUAAUGGUAGUUCCUAUCUGUUCACAUACCAGAAGUUGUAGAGAAGACUAGAAGAGGACCUACUCACAUGAGGCGCUUCUGGAAAGAACAUGAUGUUGAUAACAAGAUCAAUUUGAAGUUCAACAGAUUUGGUCAGCCAUGUGGUUUGAAGACUUGCAAGCUGACAAAUUUUAUUGGAACCCUAGUGAAAGGAAAAGAAAUGUCCUUAGCUGCUCAAAACUGGAGCAAAGUACCAAAGUUAGAGAAAGAAAAGUUGUGGGGUUCUGUCUAGGUAUGCCAACGCAAUCUAACAUAUAUAUUUGCAUCUUCAACAAACAAGUCAUUUUUUUCUUCAACGAACAAGUUGUCACAAUUGUAUUUUAUUAUAGGCUUUUUUCAACAUUGAUGAGUCAUACAAAAGAUGGGUGUUGAGAUCAGCUAGUAAAAAAUGGAAAGACUUCAAGGUUGUUUUAAAGAGGAAAUACUACAAAGCUGAUUUGUCACGGGCACGGAAUAUUCUUAAUGGUUGUGAUAAUAGAAUUCCAAUUGGACAGUGGGAGUGGCUAGUAAAACACUAGAGAACAGAGAAAGCUAAGGUGAGUACUCAAUGGUGUAGUUUUGUAUCCUAUGCUAAAUAUGUGUUCCACAUAUAAGCUUGUUAUGAGUUUCUUCACCAUAUUUGUGUGCCCAGGAAAAAUCUGAGAGAAACAAAGCCACUCGGGCAUCGCAACUCGAGGGAUGCAACGGGACCCACACCGCUGGGUCACGAAGUUUUGCAGUUGUCCUUGAUCAAAUGGUAAUCAAUAUUCCUUGUUUUAUUUUACCCCAUAAUAUUCAUUUGCCCUGUUCUUUGUGUCAACGGGACCCACACCGCUGUGUCGAGGAAGGCUGACCUUACUUAUUCUGCCUCUCAUAUGUACACAGCUGAAUUGUGGACAGAUUUGCUGUCUAGAUUUGUUGCCUUAGUGUCUUUGUCCUUUUUAACUUGUGUAACUAUUGUAUCAACAUUUCAUCUCUGCUUCAGGAGAUGGUAGAGGGUAGGGAAAUUGGGCAUGCCGAGCUUUACGUGGUUACGCAUACGAAAAACAAUGGAUAUCCAGUCAACCAACAAAGCGAAGUAAAAAUGGUAUGUAGUUCACUUCAUAGUGCUCUGUUCUAUUAUAUUCCUAGUUAGCUUUCACUUGAUACUGCUGUGUUCAGUGCUUCACAAAAUUCAUGCUUGCAACCCUACUGUUAUACGAACCUUUCAGGAUGAAAUUAAAAAAAGGAUUCGGGAAGAUCCUUCUUUGAUUGGUGAGGAGGCCCGUGAUGGUGAUCUUUAUUCAUCAAUUUUCCCAAAAGGAAAGAAAGGAAGGCCAAGUGGCCUUGGUCUAUUAGUAGGUGGAGUCGCUUUGGAGCGCCUUGCUCAAGUUGAAGCUGAACUACAUGUUGCUAAACAAGAGAACAUGGAGCUUCGGCAUGUGGUGCAUACUCUGGUGGCAAAUCAAACUUCAAUGAUGGCCAAGAGUGAGAGAAUGGCAGAACAGUACAAUGAGCUAAAAAGUUUGAUCAUAGCUUCUAGGGGGUCUGUUGAAAUGGGAGGAAUUCCAGAAAAGGAGCUUCCAAAUAAAGAACCUUCUAAGGUGAUUCUUGUUUUCAUCUCUUAUAUUCAGUCACAUUAUUUGAGCAUUUACUAGUAGCUAAAUAUGAGUUUCCACAUACUAGGACUUGGAAACCAUGAAUGACGAAGAACAAGCAACUUCACUUUCAUAUACUACCAAGGCAUCCGAGGCAAUGGCUGCUCCAAGGCUGCUCCAAGGCAAUGGCUACUCUAAGUUGGUGAAGGCAUCCCAACUGGAAUCAAAGACAACAGAAUCAGCACUACCAAGUCUUGCGCCUGUGCCAAAACCAAAGAAGACAAAGACAACUAAACAUAAGAAACCAGGAAUAUUUCAAACACCGCUCCAAAAUGGGCCAAAGGUGAUUUUUUCUAUAUGUGUCUCAACUUAUUAACCAACUAGCGAAUUAGAAGGGUUACUUAGUACCAUUGCAACUUACAGGAUGGAUUAGAAGAUACCAUAAAGUGUGGCAUGGAAGUUAGUUUGACGUCGCCAAAUAGUGCAAGUGUGGUGGCAAUGGGAACCAUUCAGAAAACUGAUAGAAAAGCUAAAGCAAUUGAUGGCCACCACUAGCUGAUUGUGUUGAAGUUCUUGUCAACGUCGUGCUCAAAGAAACAACUGAGCUGCCUCGUGCAUAAGGGAAAAUAAACAAGCUAGGAAAUGCCCAAGCUAGGUGUAUUCCAUGGCCACGCAAAAAUGUAUGAUACAUGACACUUUGCUAUCUCAUUUGCCCUGUUCUUGUAUAUGCAACUAUUCUGAACUCUUUUUUAUGCAGAUUAUGCAAACAGAUCGUACUACCGUGCUGCACUCUAAGGUACUAUCAUAGCUCAUAGUUUUGGUUUUGUGCUCAUAUUAUGUAUAACUAUACAUGAUUUUUGUUUUUACCCAAUUGUAGGUUUCUAGUGUUUGUAGUCAGGUGUCUUUCAACAAUAGCGAGAAUGUGGAUCCCAACAAAACAACUACUGGAACUCAGGUGACCAACCAUGAGACUGGUUGCAGUACUUCAGAAGGUGCAGUGAGUAAUACACUGAAGAGAAAGAAGGUUUCUAAAACAACAAGAAUGAAAAAAACUACUCAAGCAAUCUCUGCUACAACCGGAAACAACAUACUUAGGAAUUCGGGCAGGAAAACAUGAAAGAUGGUCAUAGGUGAGUUGUACAUGCCUUUUCCUGUAGUGAAUUAGAGCAUGAGGUUUCCUGGCCCCUUUUUCUUGCAUGCAUGUCUCUGUAACCCUGUUACAGUGCUGAGAACAUUCUUUGCUCUUGUAGAAGCCUAGAAAUGCUGGUACACUGCUCAAGGUUGAAGUUGAAGGUGACACAUCGCUGAUUUGCUUGCCCUUGUGUGUGCCCGUCUAAGAUUGGCUUGCUCUUAUGCUGGUACACUGCUGAUUGGAUUGCUCUUGCAUCAAGCUGGAACACUUGUUCGUAUUGUUGUCACAACAUUAGGAAGUGACCUGUGUGUUUCUGAUUGAUACUUUGAUAUUGUUUCUGAAUUUGUGAAGAUGUUCUUAUGGUGAUGCUUUGCAUUAUUCGCAUGCACGAUGAUACUUCUAGCCGAUGCAAGCUUCUCAAUCUUUUUUUCUAUUGUAUGUGUUUUUACAGAGCUAGAUGCAAAUUAUUGAGCUUGCUGUAAUAGUGGUUUUAUCAUAUUCUUAUUAUGCAUAUGUAAAGUUUGUGGCAUUCUUAUGUGCCCUGGAAACAUUUUGGAGGCAAUACAAAAGACGCCACAUAAUGGUUUUGAGGCAUUCUUUAGAAAUGCCACAAAAAUGUCUUGAAGGCAGUAUGAGAGAUGCCUGGCAUAAUUUUUAGAGGCAUCAUGACAAAUGCUGCAAAUAGUCUUUGGAGGCAUUCUAAAAAAAUGCCUUCAAUUGAGCUUGUUGGCGUUCUGAAAAAAUGCCUGCAUUUAAUCUUUUUGAGGCAUUGUGGAAAAAUGCCUCAAAUUGAGCUUGCUGGCGUUUUAAACAUGCCUCUGUGUUGACCUUUGGAGGCGUUCUAGAAAAAUGCCUCAGAAGACCUUUCCCUUGGUGACCAUCUCUAGCAUAUUUGGAAAAUGCCUUCUUUUCUCUAAGCUGGCAUUAUAGGGGCUUUUUGAGGCAUUUUAAAGUGCCUGCAAUUGACGUACGUGUUGUAGUGCACGGCACCAUAUAUUAGAACAUCUACAGCCGGACAUAUCAAACCAUCCGUCGUACACCCGCGGACGCGCCCGGUGAUUGACCGGACAGGAAAGAAGAAAAAACGUGAUCCAAUCAGACCCCUCCUAUCAUCCCUAUACGCCCGCGUUGUCCGCGAAUCCUCAUAUUCAACUCAAAUAUGGGAAGUAUAUGAGGGCUCGCGAACGCGCCCAGUCACGACCUCAUCUCCACCAAUCACGUGCAAGUGACCGGACAUACGAAAAGAAAAAUAAAAAGUGUGGAUGCCCGGACGGAUAAAUAGGGGUUCAAAACGGGCAGGCUCCGUCACUGACGAGACGCGUCUGCGGGCUUUUAAGGGGUCAUAUUUGCUCUUACUCACCCGUCUAAAACUCUCUAAUUUUAUGAGGCGGAGCGAAUAGGUCAGCAAACACGUAGUACGGUCGCGCGCAUCAACAGCGAACGAAGAAGAGGUCCGACGGUCCAGAGCGCUGCAUGUGCAUGGAGCGUUAAUUUCGUUAAUUAGUAGACGAUGGAGCUCAAUUAGCCGGACGAGAGAGAGAGAGAGAGAGAGAGAGAGAGAGAGCGCUCUUGCACGCACGUUCUUCCAAAAGCAUGUCCAAAUCACCUUUUGAAAUCAUGGUGGUGAGUGCACAUGCGAGAUCAUCCAUCGGUGCGGCUAGCCGUCGCAAAUGGGCUUAAUUAAUCAGGUACACACAUGCAUCUACAGGACCCAAAGAUUCACAUAAUCUCAUCAUUCAUGCAUCCCAUCGAUCUAGUAGCUAGACCUCUCUUACUUGUCCUCUUUCAACUAGCCAUGUUCCUUCUGCUCGUUUCCAAUGAUUAUGAUUUGUGUUUUUUCUUCCCAUCAAUUGUCGGCACGAUGUGGCCAAUAGUAACUUUUUGUUCGGCGGUAUGUCUUCAAUUUUCACCACAUUGACCUGGGUCGCGCCUGUGCGUGGCCGCGGCCGGGAUCAUGUGGAGGUGUGGCCUUCAUAUCGCAUCUCUGGCUAGAUCGUCGCACGCGCAUCGUAAUUUUGUUGAAGGUAUUGGCUCGAUUCUACGUUCGACUUGCAGUUGAACUCAUCAAUAUGCGGGUGCAUGUGCGGCGAUUCCUUCUUAAAGCUUUGUCUAGGGGUAUUUGUGGUUUUUUUUUCAUCCGGUCGCAUAUCAUAAAGUUUGUGGUAGGAUUAGGGAGAUUUUGCCGCGAGGUAGUUGGCCUUGAGUUCUUUAAGCCAAUUCGAAGACACAAAUACUUUCACCAAUUUCGAAGAGCACAUCGGGUGGUUAUUACUAUCGACUUUGGAAUAAUUAUUUCCCAGUCGCAUGAGAAAUACUUCCCUCUAUCCAUAUUAGUUGUCCUGUUAUAAUACAGAGUUAUACUAUGUUGUAACAAUUAACAUGGAUCAGAAGGAGUAAUAAAACUGCCGUAGCAAACCCAGCAGGGAGGGAAGCAAGCAGAUGGCGUCGCAUAGAGGUUUCGGUUGGGUGGGCUUUUUCUUUUUCUUCUCUCUCCUGUCUGGGCCUGUCCGGGCUGUCCGUCCGGUCACUUUGAGGGGUCUGAUUGUAGAUGCUCUAACAAAACAAUCGUAACAACCCCUCGAAAAAAAAAACUGUCAUAACAACCUCAGCAGGCAGGGAAAGCAAGCACAUGGCGUUGUACAUAGUGGGUUGAUGUACCAAAUCCUAGGUAGGUUGUCAGUUAGGUUCGGUUAGUUAGUUGCAUCGCAUGGCAAGCAUGUGCAACGGCUUUUGCCUGCGCUCUACUUGCAGAAAGGGAUGAUUGACGAAGCUGCAGUGCGCUGCUGCACAUAUAGUUCCAUCUAGUACAUUGUGAUUAUUGAGCACCAGAAAGUGCUGGUGCUACCUUUAAUUUAGGAGGGAGGUCAUUGUCCAAAUCAGUCAAGUACCCACCGGCUAGGUGCCGUGCGGGUGUACGUAUACAUAUGUGCAUGUGGAUCGAGCAAUUAAUAGCGAGGAAAAUCCGCACCACAAUUUCUAUAAAACCAUUCAAGAAUAUGCACGUACAGGUCGGAUGGAACUACAAUUUCUAUAAAACCAUUCAACUAUAUGCACACGGAUCUCCCAUGGAACAACAAUUUCUAUAAAAUCAUUCAAGUAUAUGUACGUACAGGACGGAUGGAACUACAAUUUCUAUAAAAUCAUUCAAGGAUAUGUGUGCGUACAGGACGGAUGUAUCUAAUAAAUUAAACACAAUAUUUCGGACUUGAAGAUUUGACACGCAUCAAUAAAGGAUGGAUGUACAUACAUGCACAGUGCAUGGCAGACACUUCAGAACAAAACACAAAAUACAUGGCGACACAAAUAGGUCAAGUACACCAAUGAAGCAUAGUUUAAAAAAUCGAACCCUCAACCGAAACGGUGAGGUUGUCGGUUCAGGAUCUUACUGAUCGGGACGGCGGUUCACCGGUUCAUUUGCGACAGAAGCUCAUAAUAUUUAAGAUAAUUUUUCAAAAAAUCGACCUCACAUGAAAUGGAAACAUAUAACAUUGGGCGUAAACCAUUAAGAAAUCAGAAAGCGUUAUUAACAUAGUUGGUUAUUAGGCCUUUAGCAUGCCUUAUCUGAAGGUUAUGUGUUUGAUUCCUUGUUGUUGCACCUUUUUUUCAAACAUUUUCAAGUUUUUUUUACUAAAAGGCCGGUACAGUUAAAAAUGGACAAGAGUUUUGCUACAUUUAUCAAGAGAUUUCCUACGGAAUUAUUCUAUGGGGCGACNNNNNNNNNNNNNNNNNNNNNNNNNNNNNNNNNNNNNNNNNNNNNNNNNNNNNNNNNNNNNNNNNNNNNNNNNNNNNNNNNNNNNNNNNNNNNNNNNNNNNNNNNNNNNNNNNNNNNNNNNNNNNNNNNNNNNNNNNNNNNNNNNNNNNNNNNNNNNNNNNNNNNNNNNNNNNNNNNNNNNNNNNNNNNNNNNNNNNNNNNNNNNNNNNNNNNNNNNNNNNNNNNNNNNNNNNNNNNNNNNNNNNNNNNNNNNNNNNNNNNNNNNNNNNNNNNNNNNNNNNNNNNNNNNNNNNNNNNNNNNNNNNNNNCAUAUAUUAUUAGUUAUAUAAAUGGUCAAAUUUUAACUAAAAAUGUGAAAGGGCCAAUAAAACUUAGCGGAGGAAGUAAAUAAAAAAAAGUCCAUUUUACUACCCUGAAGAAAAUGGGUUGUUCAUAUAACCCCUGAACUUUUUUUUGGUUCACUUAACCCCUAAUUUAAUCAAUCCCGUUCAGAAAUCAUCAUUGGCGGGUUUGUAAGGUGGUUUUGCUGAUAUGAACAAAGUCAAAGCAGUUUGUUGACUAGUGGGACCAUAUAAUACUAAUAUUGUGUACGGUCUGCGCCGCUAGCACUGUACAUAAAGAGGCGGUACAUCUGCAUAUCGACGGUCGUGGCUCAUCCAACGUCGGUCAUACUAGUACCAGCUUAUAGAUAGGUAGGGUACUAGCUAGAUCGAUAAUGAACAUGGUCUAUUGGUACGACUCUCCUCUUAUUUCCACGCUAGCGACGUGUAGCUAGGUGUGCAUGUGAUGGGUGUGACCACGACGCGCCAACACAUUCCUUAGCUUCAAUUCAAUUCAGAUGUUAUAUACCACUCCCUCCGUCCAUAAUAUAAGAACACUUUUAACACUACACUGAUAAAAAAACGUUCUUAUAUUAUGGGACGAAGGAAGUAGUUUCUUUGUAUCUAGAUGCAUUUAAAUGUUAGUAAUACAUUCGUUUGAGCGUCAACUAAUUUCAGACGAAGGAAGUAGUAAUAUUUGCUAACUUAUUAUAUAUUUACUAAAUUUAGAUGGAGUACAUGCUAGUAACAAACAAUGGAUGUUUCUUCUGCCAGAAGCAAUGCCACGCUAAUGGAAAAAGUCCAAAUUGGUGGAUAAAGUAGCUGAUUCAUUUCGUUUAAUUCUAGCGUAGGCUCCAUCGCACAAAAAAAGUCAAGGCUAGUGUGAAGUAGUGCAGUACUCCAGUAUGCACCGGCCGGGCGGCCGGCCAGUAACCGAAUUUCAGCCGCUCAGGUCAGCUAGCCUUAAACCAGCAGACAAGUUAGGUUCGCCACUUGCAAAAAGGUUUUUUUGCCGUCAAACCAGCAUUAUUAGUUGCAGAAAACAUGGGGAUUGGAUCCUGUGGUUUAUUUGCAUAUAUUCUUGUCUCGAGGAGGAGGCAAUCCUGCGAUUUGCAUACGAUAACAGCUCCUUGAUUUGGGAGGCAUGUUUAAAAUGGUCAAAUGUCCAGCCCAAUCUCCCUGCAAUUUGGUCCAUCUAGACAAAUUAAAUUACAUCAGCUGCAAAGCAUUCCCUCCAUCUCAAAUAUAAGACGUUUUCUAGGCUUAGUCGUUUCUGAGGCUUGGACUAAUUAAGUCUCAGAAAUGUGAGUGCACCAACCUUUUGAUCGAUUAAAGUAAUAUUUUUCUCGAUCAUCGUAACUACUCCCUCCGUCCCGUAAUAUGAGAACGUCUUUGACACUGCACUAGUGUUGAAAAGACGGAAUGAGUACUUACUUACAAUUGACGACCUUGCAACCUCAGGAUUGUCUUUUUCUCUAGAGUAGUAGCAGCGAGAUCAUCAUAGCCGAUUCUGCGUGUACCAUCCAUAAGAAAAAUGAGAAUCCUCCUCAUGUGUCAACUAGUAAUAAAUGAAAGCUCAUCAUCAGUCUCUGCAAUCACCAGUGUAUAACUAACUCCCAAUUAGCAACCAACCACUCCUGAGAUUAGCACCCAUGUGGGACCCACCACACCCUACACCACACUACAUAUAGCCCGAUGCGUGAAGGCAGCUCAAUCGGAGUAGAACCCCAAACACACACACACAAACACACACACACACACACACANNNNNNNNNNNNNNNNNNNNNNNNNNNNNNNNNNNNNNNNNNNNNNNNNNNNNNNNNNNNNNNNNNNNNNNNNNNNNNNNNNNNNNNNNNNNNNNNNNNNNNNNNNNNNNNNNNNNNNNNNNNNNNNNNNNNNNNNNNNNNNNNNNNNNNNNNNNNNNNNNNNNNNNNNNNNNNNNNNNNNNNNNNNNNNNNNNNNNNNNNNNNNNNNNNNNNNNNNNNNNNNNNNNNNNNNNNNNNNNNNNNNNNNNNNNNNNNNNNNNNNNNNNNNNNNNNNNNNNNNNNNNNNNNNNNNNNNNNNNNNNNNNNNNNNNNNNNNNNNNNNNNNNNNNNNNNNNNNNNNNNNNNNNNNNNNACACACUCCACUCAACUAUUGGAGCAGAGAAGAUGAUGACGAUGAUGAUGCAGAUUAGGCCACAUAUUGGCAUCUCACGUCUCAUGGUGGUGGUAGGAGCCGUGGUGCUGCUGCUGCUGCUGCAGGGGCGUCCGGCUGAGGCGCAGCCCUCUCCCGGCUACUACCCGAGCUCCAAGGUGAGCUCAAUGCCGUUCUCGCAGUGGUACACCAACCUGUGGGGCGCCCAGCACCAGUCCCUCUCCCCGGACCAGACCUCCCUCACCCUCUGGAUGGACCGCAGCUCAGGUCAGUAAUUUUUUUUUGCAUGAUUAAAUCAUACUUAGUGCUAGAUACAUUCAUUUGAGCAAUAAUGUUUUUGAGACGGAAGAAGUAUGUACUCGUGCUCAAGUCUGUGCAAUAGUUGGACAACCCAUUUCACCUAACAAAUCAUGCUGCUAAUUAAUUAAUUCGUCGUCCACUUCAGGGAGCGGGUUCAAGUCGAAGCGGGCGUACCGGAACGGCUACUUCGGCGUCUCCAUGAAGGUCCAGCCCGGCUACACCGCCGGCGUCAACACCGCCUUCUACGUUAGUACCUCUCCUCCUCCCCUCCGGCGACCAUUUUUUCCUCUUGGAUCCUUCUUAAUUAACUGACCCGGUGCAUGCGUGCAGCUGUCGAACAAUGAGGUGUACCCGGGGUACCACGACGAGAUCGACGUGGAGCUGCUGGGCACGGUCCCCGGCGAGCCCUACACGCUGCAGACCAACGUGUACGUCCGGGGUACCGGCGACGCCCACCCCAUCGUCGGCCGGGAGAUGCGGUUCCACCUCUGGUUCGACCCGGCCGCCGCCUUCCACCACUACGCCGUGCUCUGGAACCCCGACGAGAUCGUCUUCCUCGUCGACGACGUGCCCGUGCGCCGCUACCAGAAGAAGGUGGAGGCCACCUUCCCCGAGCGGGAGAUGUGGGCAUACGGCUCCGUCUGGGACGCCUCCGACUGGGCCACCGACGGCGGCCGCUACAGGUCCGACUACCGCUACCAGCCCUUCGUAUCCGGGUUCAAGGACUUCAAGGUCGCCGGCUGCGAGGUCGGCGCGCCCGCGUCGUGCGGCCCCGUGCCGGCCGGGCCCGGUGGCGGGCUGAGCUCGCAGCAGACCGCCGCCAUGAGCUGGGCGCAGCAGCGGGCCAUGGUCUACUACUACUGUCAGGAUAGCUCCAAGGACCGCUCCAACUACCCAGAGUGCUAGUCUGCUACCACUAUAUAUUUAGCUCUGAGCUCCGAGCUCGAGCCAGCGGCAAUGGCGGCUGCCCUUCCGUCCAAGUGAAGGUUGAGGCGUAUGUAUAUGGCCGGUAUACGAUGCAUAGUGUGAUCGAUAUUGUGAUUCGGGUAUGUAUGUGUGUGAGAUACUCUGAAGAGUGCGAGCAGGCUGAGACGUACGUGCUCUGUCUAAGUUAUUGAUAUUUGUGAGAUUACGAGUGUAGAUUGGACAUUUGGACUUGUAAUCUACAGCUUUUGGAUGCAGAGAAAAUGGUUUGAGCCGACACGACGGAGGUUUGCUAUUUUUAGUUUCAGUUGUUUCAAUUUUUUCUUCCCUCUCACUCGAUUUUUAAGACAUGUGCUUUUGGUUGCUGGAAGGAUUGCUUAAUUAUCUUUUUGUGCAAGACUUUUGAGUGAAGCAAGAGGUGGACCACGUGAUACUCGGGUAAGCAAUCCAAAUUUGAUGGGGAAAAAAAGCAAGUGGUGGAGUUGGAGGAGCCAUGUCCCUUUUCACUUGAAGCAUGCGAAGGGAUUGCGUGAGGGAAAGUAUCUAGUGCAAAUUAAGGGGUCUACUUCCCUUAUGCUUUUUAGUAGAGUUCCAAAUCAAUCUUUUUUAAAAAUAGCACAUAGACAUGACAUGAAUCCAUGGUGUCACAAUAAUUCAAACAUUGCUCCGAAAACAGAAUUUAGAAUUUUGCUGCCAGUAGCGACAAUGGGCCAAAUUCGAAGCCCAACUUACAUUAAACACUAUUUAGUGUUAGAGUUGUUGUUUUUUCUCUCGACUUGUGUUACGAAUUUUAAUUUGAAUUUGUGUGACAAUAUAGAUUCAUGUCAUCUCUGCGUGCUAACUUUUGUUCAUAGUUUUCUGAAAAACCUUCAAAAGCAUUUCUGUUAUUUCUUUUUGUGAUGUUAACAGUGGGUUGGUUACAUCAGCAACCCAUAUGAAAACCAAGCUUUUGUCAUUAAAAAACACGAAAAUCUCAUCUCAAUCAUCAUUUGUCGCUGCUUCUAAUUUAGGGGUAAGUUAUUUGGCUUGGACAUGAUAUUUAGUUCAUCUCUGCAUCUCAAAAUACUAACUAAUGAUAUUCCCCGCAUGUUCAAAGAUUUAGUUUAUGAAACUUGGUAAAUUUUAUUGUUCAUUUCUACUAGGUUCUAUAGUAGUUAUUAAACUUAGUGAAGUUUUAAAAACACGUCAAAAUGUAUUUCAAAUGGAUCUUAUUUCAAAGCCCUCGUCACAAGAAACAGAAUAUCCAAACAAAACUAAAUUUAGACUUUCGGUUCAAAAGAUAGAAAAGAUUCAAAUGCGAAAGCAAAAAAAAAGGAGUCGGCGCCCCCCGCCACCGCGUUCCUCAAAUCCUCUCUCCAAGACGAUCCCUUGUUUACAAGUAUUGGUGAAUCAGACAUAGCACUUUUAGUGUUCCUUCUCUCAGCAUGAAACCGUUUCAAAUUGCGGCGUAACAAUAGCAGCAAAGUAAUUGAAUCCAUAUGCUAGAACAAGAGUGGUGAAUGCAUGACUACCAUUAGUAAGGGUAUGGUAUCAAUCUCACAUUCGUACUUUUAAGCAUUGGUGAGCACUUGAAUAUCAUUGUUAAGAAAUCAUGCUCAUGAUCCUCUCUAGUGAAGCCAUGGAUUUCCACUUCUUCAAGACGUGUACAGAAGACACUUUGGCUUCUCCAAUUCUUGGGCACAUGACAAGGACAAUUUCCUUCGCAUGCUUUUCUCAACUAUAGGAAGUGAUGAGCAUGACAAUGUAUUAAUUAAUGACUCUGCACUAGCUUCUCAGUUCUGACCUUAUCACAUACAGCGUAGAGAAAUUGUGUCGACCAUGCAUUAUCUAUGUAUAAGAUGUAUAAGUACGGAGAAGAAUCACCUUGGAAACCCUUGGCAGGACGACCAUAAGCUUCUUCGUAGCGGCACGAAUCCGAUGCAUUCGAAGGAGUUGUAAUACAAGUGCUCCGUAAAGAUGGCAUGCCCGUUCAAAAUUUAGCUCCAACACAGAGAAAUUGGUGACUGGAAGUUUCUCCAUCUCCUCAGCAAUGUCCAUCUGUGGAUCCAAAUGAUUCUACGAACAAAUUGGAAAAAGAUAUCAUGCAUGCAUGCAGAGAACCAACUAAAGUUUGGUGCGUAAAUCUAUUACUAUUAGUUUGAAGUUUGAACUGAACAGAUAAGAAGCAAACCCCAUCAUUCAGGUUCAAGCGAAGCUCAUGUUCCCGAUUGUCUACGUCGCUCUUCUUUAUGGUAUGUACCCUCAUCUCCUGUAAACGCCAAGAGCCAUAAGAAAGAGGCACUGCAUAGCAGCUCCGCCAAAAGAACUCCUCUAGCACUUCCGGCGAGAUGGAGACACCGGUGUCCCUGCCGGCACAGAAAUUCAGAUCCAGUUGCUUAAGCACGGGAGCUACAAUGUCAAUGUUGUGACAUUCUAUCUGGACAUCCAAAUUCACAGUAAGUUUCUGCAGCGACGGGGCCGUGAUGUUGCCCGUAGCCGUGGCUAAGUUGAUCUUUAGCACGCGAAGGCGCGGGCAAAGCUUGACCAAGCUACCAACAUCGACAGUGCUCCAGCACCCAGUUAGGGACAGAUUCUCGAGCGCGAGGAACUCAUACAUCGGCAGCGAUGUGAAGCGUACGUGUUGCCAGCUCAUCUCGAUGGAGGUGGUAUGCCGGAAGCAGGGAAGGUGUGCAUUUAUCUGUUUGUUAGCACACACCAUGCUGAAGCUAUCAGCGAGGACGAACUCCUGCGGUGAGAGCCUCGAUGUGGUCUGGAGAAGAGAGGCGAAGGAAGCGGCAUUGACAUUGUCCUCCCAAGGAAUGCUGAUGUCGAGGAGGGACAAUGUGAGGCCAAGCGAUGCAGCUGCCUCUUCGAGCACGACGAGCACCGCUUUGAUGGAACGGAGCGGCAUCCCACGGAAGGUGGCACUGAGCAUGCGCAGACAUGGGCAUUGCUUGAGCAAGGUGCCAAGGUAAGCGAUGUUGCCGGAGAGGGACAACUUCUCGAGUCUGAGGAACGGUGGCAGCGUGAGCUCUUGUGAGUCGAGGUUGGUGACGCUGAGGCUGAGCACGCGCAGGCACUGGCAGCGGUUGAGCAAGUAGCCAAGGCCGGCGAUUUCUCCUGUGAGGGACAAACUCUCGAGCAUAGGGAACACGCUGUUCGCCGGCAGCGUGAUGGGGAUGGCAUGCUUGUGUGGGGAGGUGAUGCUGAGCGCACGCAGACGGGGGCAGCGGUUGAGCAGCGCGCCAAGGUUGAAGAUGUAGCCCGAGAGGGAAAGCCUCUCGAGCGAGGUGAACUCGUGAUCGCGGGUCGACGAUGGCACGAUUCGGACACGGGAGAAGCUAUAGAUGCCCAGCUCGAUGGAUGUGGUGCAGUCAAAACAGGGCAGCCUGAUGUCGGCCGACUCUCCCAUGUUCAUUAGACAGGUGAAGACUAGCUCCCUGGGCGAGAGACGUGCGGCGGCGCGCAGCAACGAACUGGCGAAUUUGGCAGUGUGUCCCGUUUGAAGGCAGAUGUUCAGGGUAGACAUUGCCGGUGUGGAAGCAGCGAAGCGGGCGAGCGCAGCUUUGAUCAUGGCGGGCUUCUCGAGGCCGCGGAAGGUGAGAUCGGCGAGGCCGGUCCAGAGGCCGCGCCAUCGGCGAGAGAGGAGGCCGGUCUGCACGGCGGUCCGGACGCAGCGUAGGCGUGCGAGGAUCAACAGAAGUAUCUCGUCGGGGAGGGCGCUGAUGAGAUCCAUGCACCGUUGCUGCGGCGGCGCCGAGUGCUGGAGAUAAUGCCCCGAUCGCACUUCCAUCGUGAGGAAGGAACACGUUUUUUUUUUUGAGCAUCACGUGAGGAAGGAACACGUGAAGCCCUGCAACUUAGAAUAAACACAUCGACCCCCAGGUUUUACGGCGUCACCCAGCCAAGCCCAAGAGAGCCCAACUAUGUCUAGUUCGUUGUGAACUCGUGAUAAAAUAGGGUUUUUUUUGCAAGGUUGAUAGAAUAGAAAUAUAGAAUAUGAACUUUUUCGGUUCCGUGAAACAGGGAGCACCGUGUGUACACACUACGACCAUAAAAAGGUUGUGUGCUACGAGGCCAAAGCAAAACAAAGUAAUGCUUAGAAAAAUAGUUCGUUUACAUCCAGAACUAUAUAAACUUGUGAUAGCAACGAGUGUAAUAGCUUAUCGAAAGCUCGAAGUAAAGUUUGUUUUGAGAAUAUAUUUUUCUUUAUGAUCCAGCAAAGUGUAACUGACUUCUUCACUUGGAGGAAAUGUUUGUGACGGAUUAUCCUGGGGCUUGAUGGAUAAAUGUUGUAACGUUGAGCUUGUUGGUGCUGCUGGUCGGUCUACAUGUUCAAAAUUCAUGUAGAGUCAUGUUUGUCUUGGAUUGAUGGACAGUUUGUUCACAUUGUUUGCUUUGUUCGUCGUUUUGCUUUGUCUGUUAUACAUGUUGUUCUUGCUAGAUUGUCUGCAAGUAAGUGAGGCUUUUAUGGGGAUUAUUCGGGUGUGAAAUAUUUUCCUGGAACCGUGUCGGAUGUGCUCUUGUGCUUGGUGUUUUAUCAGCUUCAUUCAGAAAAUGAAAUUGGGGAGGGGGGAUCAUGCACAACCCGGGAAUGUACGUGCUGCUGAAAUUUGAUGCAUUUCUUGAGGUAGCGUAUACAGCUGGGGUUAACCAAAGUGCAUGCCAAGCAAUGAUAUAAAAAUGCGGUCGUGCACCAACUCCAACCAUCGUUAAUUUCGCCCCACCUCCCCCCGCCCCCUGCGUGUGUGUCCUCCUCUCACCGUACUGUCGCCGCUGCCCGCCCACCCACCCGCUCCACAACCCCGCCGCAAGUUCCACCGCUCCUCCACUACCGCCCGCCUCGAAUCGAGCGUUUUUUCCAUCGAUCCUCCGCCGCCACCCGAUUUGCCACCGUCGUCGCCGCUCAUCCACCACCACCAAGCCACCGUCCAACUCCCACCCGUCGUUUUCCCCUACUGCCGCUCCCCGAUUCCAACUCUAGGCGUGGCCACCAACAUACUAGCCGUGUUGCCGCCACGCCACCGCCGCCGACAUAUCCUAGUCGCGUCACCACCGCACCGUCGCCACCAUGCCGCUGAAGAACCUCCCGAAGAGCAAGACAGGGUUCUUCGGCAUGCGGGCGAGGCCAUCUGACAAUUCAACAUUGAGUUCUCAGACGGCGCCCGUAGCUUCAGGCUCGGCACAUACCCUACCACCAACGAGGCCGCGCGGUCAUACGACGUGGCAGCAUGGCGUGCCUAGAGGCCAAGGACGGAGCUCGACUUCCAGCAGAUUGAGACCUGGGUGGGUGCGGAGUUCCUCGCACCCGAGGGCUUCUGUAUAGAGGAGAUGAUGAUGACGAAGAAGAAGCCGACAAUUUGUUUUUAUCCACGCGACAGCAAUGAGCCAGCAAUGGCGAGGUUCGCGCGGGAGCAACCAGAAUAUCUCCAGGAUGAAUGUGAGUUCUACUGGAAGCGCGAUGCCGAGCGGAAAAAGAAGAGGGUGAAGUAGGUAGCUCUGACUUAGAUUUAACUAUGAAUGUGUGUAAUGUGCUUAAAACAGCAUGUGUUUGGAAACUUUAUUCGACGGCGAAUUCAGUGAUAUAUUUGUUGCGGCAUAUGACAAUUUUGCACGGACAUAUGGCAAUUUUGCACUCGUUAAAUGACGACGUAAUAGCCCAUCUCGGUUUAUAAAGCCAGAUGCAUCAAAUUAACAACCUAGCACCUGCCUCGAUUUGAAAACCCAGAUACAUGAAAUCGACGACCUAAAAUCUGUCCUGCUUAUAAUUAUAAACCCAGAUAGAGUUAGUAAAAGAAUCAUGUACUCCCUCUGUAAAACUAAUAUAAACGGUCUUUACAGAGGGAGUACUCAAUAGGUAUUCUUAGUUCGUCAUGCUAUUUUAUAUAAAACCCCUUGAUAUUUCUUACAUUAAACCCGCAGUAGAUAUCAAAUAUUUUUUUAUCUAUAUCUUCUUCUUUCUUCUUCUAUCUAUUCUUCUUCUAUCUAUUCUUCUUCUCUUCUCUAUUUUCUAUCUUCUCUUCUAUCUUCUCUACUUCUCUAUUAAUAAAAUAAAUAGGUAUUCUUAGUCCGUCAUGCUAUUUUAUAGAAAACCUCCUGAUUUUUUCUGACAUUAAACCCGCAGUAGAUAUCAAAUAUUUUUUUUAAAUACUCAUAUCUUCUUAACCAUAACUCCAAAUUUAACAUGUUAUAUAUGAAUUUUGAUUAGAAAAAUAUGUAGAAUCUGAAUAUAUAUGUUGUUAUUUUACGAGUUAACAAUUUAAGAAAAUACAAUCUAAGUUAGUGAUUAUGGUGCAAUCUUAAUCAAUAAUGCAUUAUCCGUCUUUCUUUCAUACCGGUAGUGAUUCGGAUAGGGGAUGAACAUGUUGAAAUAGAAUACAUGUGGAAUCUUGAACUACGCUUUUCUAGGCUAAUACCACAUUUGUUUGAGUCGUAGCUACAAAUUCUCAGAUUAUAGACCAUUUUUCAUGAAUUAAGAGCGUGUGGUAUUUUUUUUUCUCCCGUUGCAACGCACGGGCCUUUUUGCUAGUACAUAUCAAAGCAGAAGCAGCCUACGGAGCGGUUCAGUGCCGGCGGGUGUUGCGCCGUUGCUCGUGCAUCUCCACACAGCAGCACAGAGAAACAAAGAUGACGACGAUCGCCAAGAGGAACGGCCACAGCUCCCGCGGGGCACCAGCCUGGGAAGAUGCAGAAGCAGCUGUUGCAGGGUAUCGGCAAGUACCGGAGCCUGCAAGAUCAAGAUGCAAUUUGUAACCAUCAAUGGAGUUGUACAUGCACAUCCACCUGAGAUCCAAGGAAGAUGGCAGAGCUAGCGAUCGAAGCACGAGGCUUACUGGGGUCUGUGGAGGUGAGGGUGGCGGUGCCGCCGAAGUCACAGGUGGCGCCGCCGCCGUUGGCCUUGGCGUUGUGGUAGUAGCUGUUGGCGGCGUAGGAGCAGCGCGUCGCCACCGUGUCCGUGCCGGAGUGGCACUGCCCGCCGGGGAGCAGCGGGGCGCAGUCGGCGCCGUGGCCGCACGCGUAGUCCAGCGUCCUCUGCAGCGCCGCCGCCGGCAGCUCUGGCUUGCACACGCACCAGCUGCUACCUGCAGCCGACGACGCUUCCGUCGACAAGGCGAACACCACCAAGAGCAGGAAGAUCCAGAGGGCUGAAGUCGCCGCCAUGGAUGAGGGAUCGGUUCUGCUUCUGUUGAUUAUGUAGUGUACGGGCUCGAACAAGUUGCCUAUCCGUAGUACCUGCUCAGGGUCAGAUUCAAUCUACAACGAGGGCUCAGAGUCCAAGCACAUACUAAUGGAUUGAUUUAUUUGGAAAGAACACAAUUCUGAAACAAUAUACAACUCGAUCACGGCCAGGGUAUGCCAAUUUGAGCUGGAAAAACCUUCCGGUCAGAAAUCAUCCUUACAUGUUUAGAUGUGAGAUACGCCCCCUGUAAAGUAAUAAAAAACAUGUUUAGAUAUGAGAUACGCCUUCUGUAAAGUAAUAUUUUUUAGAUCACUACUUUAAUGAUCUAUAUGUGUAUACGUGUGAACAAUAUAGCUAGAAAUGUAUUGUGUACAUCCAAGGCAAAAAAUAGCACGUCCCCUUAAAAUACGCUAUUAAUGUGCAAGAGCGCGUCAUAGCAUUCCAUUAGCGAGGCAUUAUAUAUGAUUUAUUUAGUGAGAUAAUUUCCUACACGCUAUAGCACGCUAUUUUCUUUCAGUGUGUACAUCACAGUAAUAACAUGAACUGUGUACAUCACACAGUACAAUGCAUGCAUUUUAAAAAAAUCGUAAAAUUGCUAUCAGUGAGGGCAGAACUAAGGGUCUGCCACUGGUGCAUCAUCUAGUAGUGGCGGGCAAGUUGUUAUGCCCGCCACUGGUGGCAUAUUAUGAGUGGCGAGAGAUCAGUGGUUGGCCUGCCUGGGCCCAAAGCCCGCCACUGCUAGCCAUUCCUGCGGUAGUGUGUGGUGUAACCUCUAAAUGUAAUUCUCUUGGAAAUGUCAUGUUUAAAUUUAAUGAAAGAUAUUGACAAGAACGUUAUAUAUGUCUCAACAGAAUACUUCUGGGUAACAUGUUCAAAGUCACCGUAUCAGUUUAAGUUUUGUUAUUUCUGAUAACAACAAGUAAUUAAAUGUAACAAUUAACAAACAUAAGUACAUCUCCGUCAUUUAAUUUUGUUGCAUCAAGGAGCAUGCUAACCAGAUGCAUGCGGAUCCAGUUCACCCUAUCUAAAAUCACCAUAGCAAUUCACCGAAGGAUGUGCCAAGAAAAUGUUGUGCAAUUUCGUAGUGCAGCCUUUAAAUGUGCAUGCAAGUCUCACGGUCAUUCUUUUAAGCUUUGGCGAGCAUUUGAAAAUCAGUUUUAAGAAAUCAUGCUCGUGAUCCCGUCCUUCAAGGUCGUGGAUCUCCACUUCUUCAAGACGUGUGCAGAAGUCACUUUGGCAGCUCCAGUUCUCUGGCUUAUAGCCAAAACAAUCUCCUAGACAUGCUUGGCUUCUCCCCUAAAGAAAAUGAUGAGCAUGACAAUCCAUUAUUUACACGUGCUACCUUCUCGGUUGAAACCAAAAUUGCAUAGAGAAAAUUGAUGGAACAUGAACCGUGUAUGUAAGAUGUAUAAGCAUGGUAGAGAAAUACCUUGGACCAACAUGGUAAGACGACCUUGAGCCUUUUUGUAGUGGCACGAAUUCGACGCAUUCGAAGCAGAUGCAGCACAAGGGCUCCGUAAACAUGUGAAUAUGAUUCAAAAUUUAGCUCCAACACAGAGAAGUUGGUAACCGGUAGUUUCUCCAUCUCUUGUGCAAAAUCCAGCUGUGCAUCCGAAUAAUUCUGUGAUACAGGAUGGGAGGGGGGAGGGGUCAGAAUAUCAUGCAUAAAACUAAUUAAAAUUAAGACAGUAAAUCCAAUAUAUAGUGCAUUGACCUGGAAGAGACAAGAGACGUACACUGGAAUAUAGCUGCAAGCUUAGGACAUGAAAGCGUGGAAGCUGCUGCAUUUGAGAAUGCGAGUCUUCCCAGUUGUCUACAUGGCUUCUCUCUAUCGUCUCUACCCUCAUCCUCUCGAGCCACCAACAACCAAAAACAAGAGGCAACCCUGUAUACCAUCGCUGCCACAAGACCUUCUCUACUACCGGUGCCGAGAUGAACACACCGAUGUUUCCCCCGGCACGAACCUUCAGCUGCAGUUGUUUAAGCAUAGGAGUUACUAUGUCGAUGCCGCGACACCCCGUGUCGAUAUCUCUAUCGAUAUCAAGCUCCUGCAGCAAUGCCGAGUGGACUAUGAUGUUUCCCGCUACAGUUGCCUUUAGUGUGCGCAGGCGUGGGCAACAGGUGACCAUGGUGCCAAUGUCCAGGACCCUGCAUUUUCCUGAUAGGGAUAACAUCUCGAGCGCAGAGAACUCGCUGGUCGGUUGCACUGUGAAGGAUAUGUUGUAGUGCAAGUCCAUCAUGAUUGAAGUUGCACGGUGAAAACAUGGCAGGUCGAUAGUGACGUGUCCGUAUAUCUCAUGAGUGACGACGACCUCUUGUGGCGAUAGUCUCGCCGCCGAGCAAUAGCUGCCGCGAAUCCAGGUCGGUAACGCUGAGCUCGCGCAGCACCUGGCAGCGGUGUAGCAAGGCGCCAAAGUCGAUGUUGUUGCCGGAUAGGGACAAUCUCUUGAGCGAGGUGAACUCGCCGGGCCGCCACACGAACACGGAAUCGUUGCGUGUCCAGUUUGAUGGAGGUGGUGCAGUUGAAACAUGGCAGCUCGAUCAUGUCGUCCAAGUCUCCCAUGUAUGACGACCAGAGGGUGAAGACCAGCUCCCUCGGCGAGAGCCGUGCGGCGGCGCGCAGCAGCAAGUUGGCGUCGUAGGCGGUCUCUCUCGUUUGAAGGUGGAUGCCGAGCGUGGACACCGGUGUUGAAGCUGCAGCCAGUCGGGCCAGCACCGCUUUGAUCGUGGCGGGAUCGAUGUAGCGGAAGGUGAGAUCGGUGACACCGGUCCAGAGAUCGCGCCACCGACGUGAGAGGAGGCUGGUCUGCACGGCGGCGCGGACGCAACGUAGGCGAACAAGGACUAGGAGAAGCAUCUCGUCGGGGAGGGCGCUGAUGAGGUCGGCUCCUCCGUAUAAACCACGCCGGGAAGGAGCUCCAAGCGGCGGCGGCGGCGAGCGCCUGAGACGACGCCCCGAUUGCAGUUCCAUCCAAGCGACAAUGUAAACCCCUUCUGGCCUCCUCUACUACUCCGUCUUGUUUUUUAAGGGCUCUAUAUUUUUUUUUCCUGAGGCCUAUCUACAACUGCGUCUAAUCUAAGGAAAGGGAACAAAACAGGUAAAAAAAAAACUGCUCCUAGCGAGGAGCCCAGGCCCAUCAUAUGAUGACCGGACGUAACCACAAAUCUUCAUGUGCCUCCUUCCCCCGCCAGCUCCGCAGUACUCCUUCUCCCGCCAGCUCCGCAGUACUCCACAAAUCUUCAUAUUUUUGCGGUUGCCUUCCCCUCCGACUCAGAGGACGAGCUCAUCCGCGGCAUCAUCCGCCGGCCGCGGACCAUGGUUUUCACUUUCAGUGAGAUUUCGGUGAAAUUCGCUGAAUUUCAGUAAUUUCAGCAAACACUGAAAUAUUACAUUUCGGCCAAAAUAUUUCAGCAAUUUCAGUAUAGCACAACAAUUCCAAUAUUUUUCGAAAUACUUUUUAAAAAAUUCAAAUUUUUUAUUGAAUUCAAGUGAAUAUUUCAGUCAUUUGGCUGAAAUGGAAACUGAAAUCACUGAAAUUCACUGAAUUUCAGUGAUUUCGGUUGAUGCUGAAAUUUUUCUGAAACUGAAAUUGGAAACCAUGCCGCGGACCAUAUCCGAUAUGGACACUUGCCACCGGCACCGCAAAAAUGCCAAGUCAAUGCAUUUGACCCAUGCCAAGUCUAAGUUACUCUCCAUUAUGACGAGCCUUAGUAAAAGUCCGACCCAUGCAUAUGAUGUUGACCUCUUUUUAACAAGAACAAUACAAACAAUACAUGUAGCUUGUUACAGCGUGAAGGAGCAGUAAAAACAUAUUGUAACAUGACACAAUACACCACCACUGUCGGUCCAUGCAAGGAUAGAGGACCAGUGAUGCGUGAUAGAAACUAUUGUGGAAGGAAAAGAAGAACAUUAAAGAGUGGAUUACACGGUGGUAAAUAAGCUCCGAAGUAACACCCAUGCAUCUGGCCGGCAAUGUUUGCCGAGAGUCUGGUCAGGGAGUCUAAACUGGAGGGGGCUCGCACAAGUUCUUGCAGGCGACCUGGCAAGGGGUGAACAACUGGUUCACGCACGUCUGGCCCAACGCUGGAGUGAGGGCGCAAAGCACGAUGCACGAGGACGUGGGCAUAGCCCAGUGGUUGGGGGCGCAUGAUUGUAAACCUAACGACCAGAGUUCGAUUCACGUCGGGGACGAAUUUCUGGAAUUCUCAUGAGGGAUGCUUCUUCUAUAUCAAUAAAACCGUGGGUGCUAGUGCCCAUGGAGUUUCAUUUUUUUGCAAAGCACGAUGCACAUCUUCUCCGCGAAGGCGUUGCAUGCAGGUACGCAUGCUGUACGGCAUGGUGUCUCCGCACUAGGGCAAGCUAACGGUUGCCCAUCGACGUAGGCCAUCGCCGGCUGCCCCGCGGCAGACAUGAGGAUGACCACCAGCACCGCGUAGAUGGUUGCCAUCUUAAGCGCAGAUGCAGCCAUUGGUCGUACCUCGGGCCAAGGAAUGGCUUAGCUAGGAAGACGGUGCAAGAUCGACAGGGAAGUGAGAAUGUGUAGGUGGUGCCCAGAUGAGAGCAGGACAAUGCUCUUUUUAUAGGCUACCAACGCACAUGGAACUGGAAUCAUGGAGUAUGGGUGUAUAUGCAGUAUCAUGCACCUUCGUGUUGACUUCAUCAUUUCAAGUGGACCGUGCAAUUCAUUUGUGGCCGCUACCUCACUCAUUAACCUCUAUUCUAAUACAUGUAGUAUCGAGUUGUCAGCCACAAUCGAAUCAUGCAUUCACCGGAUCUUACUCUUUUAUGAUUUUCUCUGAUCUUUACUUGAUCUGCAGUAUUAAUCAAAUCAAGAGGACAUAUCAGUUGCUCAGGCACAUGGUGCUGGAUAUGUAGCGUUUCAAUCCUUCUUUUUCUUUCUUUUUUUCCAGAAGGAGAGUUCCAGUUUUAGAAGGUGGCUAGAUGGGAAGUUACCAACCUAGUCCAAUGAAAAGAAUAGCGCACUAAAGAAAAAUAACGGCACCCCUAAAAUAUGCUACUAGCGUGCUAUAUCUUGAUGUAGCAUGCUAUUUGUGGUGCUAUAGUGUACUAGUUUUUUUCUAUAUCGCAGUCCGAUAAAUCCAGGGAUUUAUUGCUAACUCACCCUGUAUCAAACCCAUCAACCGUCGCGCAAGGGAUGUCCUCUCACGCUAGCCACGUCAUCACAAGAAGACGAAAAAACAAGUUAGCGAUUGGGUGGGCAGAAAAGAAAAGAGCGAGACAAAAAGAUCAGGCUCGACGCCUCCCCACGUACACCAACACAGCCGCCGCCUCCUGUGCUCAUUUCUCUCAGCGUCGCCAGAUCUGGGGGAGCCAUCGGGAGGAGAACCACGAGCAUGAGAGACCACGGCCGUGGCAGCAGCAGCAUCUCCGAUCAGAUCCGGCGCUCAGCUCAGUUGCCACCCUUUUCUCUUGUCUACGAGGCCGACACAUCAAGAUCAAGCAGGCCAGGCGGCGGCGCUCCCAGAUCCGCGCCGUGAUGUUCAAAUUUCUGGAUUUUCCUUAAAGUAUUUUCUCAUAAAAAUAAUUAAGUUCUGCAUUAGCUACAGAGCACAAAGAUGACUGCAUCUUUUAUCGAGGAAGAAACUAAUAGUACUAAUUGCUAGCGCAGUAAGGUAUGGCGCUAGUCAUAGUGGCAGUAACUUAGCUAGUAACAUAACGCAUAACAAGACAAAUUUGGUUAUGUGACAAGCAAUUAAUGAGCAAAGAGAGGUUUGGGGGUACCGUAACAUAACCUAACCCGAGACAAGAUGCUACGUCUAAAUAAAUGAAGGCUUGCAUGACACAAACCUUAUUACUACCCACUAUGGAGGUAGUAAUAUAGGCUAGUAACAUAUGCAUGUUACUAGUCUAAGUUAUUCCCCAUAAUGACUAGUCUUAGUAAAAGUCCGCCCCAUGCAUUUGAUGUUGAGCUCAAUUUAACAAGAACAAUACAUGUACUCCCUCUGCCCAGUGAAAAGGGUACAUCUAGCUUCAAAAUUUGUCCACAAAAAGUGUAUUUCUAUCUUAUCGAUGCACUUUAAAGUAGAAAAUUUACUUCUCUCUCAUCACACGGUAAUCAAGACCAAUAAUAAUCAAUAUAUGAUCUUCUUAAUUUCUACAUGCAGUUAUCAUUGGAGGUGGGUAAUUAAAGAGGAGAGAGAUGGUGGCUUGUAGCUUUUCAAUACAUCUUUACUUAACUUCAUAAUUUGUCUUAAAAUUUGUAAAUGUACACUCUUUACCGGACGAAGGGAGUAACUUGUUACAGCAUAAAGGAGCAGUAAAAAUAUACUUUAACGUGACACAAUACAGCGCCACCGUCGAUCCAUGCAAGGAUAGACGACCAGUGAUGCGUGAGAGAAACUAUUGUGGAUGGAAAAGGAAAAAAUUAAAGAGUUGAUUGCACGAUGGUUACCAACACACAUGGAACUGGAAUCAUGGAGUAUGUGUAUAUGCAGUAUCAUGCACCUUCGUGUUGACUUCAUCAUUUCAAGUGGACCGUGGUGGCCGCAACCUCACUCAUUAACCUCUAUUCUAAUUCAUGUAGUACAGAGUUGUCAGCCACAAUCGAAUCAUGCAUGCAUUCACCGGAUCUUAGUUCCUCUUUUAUGAUUUUCCCAGAUCUUUACUCGAUCUGCAAUAUUAAUCAAAUCAAGAGAAGAUAUCAGUUGCUCAGGCACAUGGUGCUGGAUAUGUAACGUUUAAUCCCUUCUUUUUUUUCUUAUCACGUUUCAUUCCUUGUUUUUUUCUUUUUUGCGAGAAGGAGCGUUUCAGUUUUAGAAGGUAGCUAGAUGGGAAGUUACCAACCUACUACAGGAAAAUAAUGGCACCCCAAAAAUAUGCUACUAGCAUCAAUGUCAAGUGUAGAAUUCGAAUCAUGGUGGGUCGGGGUUACCAUUAUCCUCUUAACCAUCCAACCACAAGUUGAUUCUCCGCUCCGAUCCUUAUUACUUUUCGCUCAAAUGGAUGUACCUGAAUGUAUUCUAGAGCUAGAUACAUACAUUUGAGCGACAAGUAAUGUGCAUCGGAGAGGGUAUCCCUUUUAUUCAAGAUAAUUAUUAUUUUAUUUUCAACUAGAAAUGUUUUUAUUACGAGUUCAAGGUCCGCCCCUUCUGUGAUGGUUAGGUUUUCAGCUAGAAAGCUUGUCGUGCUUCUGAGGAUGGCGGCGGCAAGGCGUUUGUCACUCGAGGGACUCACCGUGUUGUGCUGGCAGGUGUGAGGGUGUGCCUCUUCCACCCUGGUCCUAGCAUGCGCCGGUUUUCAUGGAGGGAAAGGCUUGGCAUAUUGUCUUAAGGUGGUGGUGGUUGUUGGAAAUAUGCCCUAGAGGCAAUAAUAAAUUAGUUAUUAUUAUAUUUCCUUGUUCAUGAUAAUCGUUUAUUAUCCAUGCUAUAAUUGUAUUGAUAGGAAACUCAGAUACAUGUGUGGGUACAUAGACAACACCAUAUCCCUAGUAAGCCUCUAGAUGACUAGCUCGUUGAUCAAUAGAUGGUUACGGUUUCCUGACCAUGGACAUUGGAUGUCGUUGAUAACGGGAUCACAUCAUUAGGAGAAUGAUGUGAUGGACAAGACCCAAUCCUAAGCCUAGCACAAGAUCGUGUAGUUCGUAUGCUAAAGCUUUUCUAAAUGUCAAGUAUCUUUUCCUUAGACCAUGAGAUUGUGCAACUCCCGGAUACCGUAGGAAUGAUUUGGGUGUACCAAACGUCACAACAUAACUGGGUGGCUAUAAAGGUGCACUAUGGGUAUCUCCGAAAGUGUCUGUUGGGUUGGCACGAAUCGAGACUGGGAUUUGUCACUCCGUGUGACGGAGAGGUAUCUCUGGGCCCACUCGGUAGGACAUCAUCAUAAUGUGCACAAUGUGACCAAGGGGUUGAUCACGGGAUGAUGUGUUACGGAAUGAGUAAAGAGACUUGCCGGUAACGAGAUUGAAUAAGGUAUCGGGAUACCGACGAUCGAAUCUCGGGAAAGUACAAUACCGCUAGACAAAGGGAAUUGUAUACAGGAUUGAUCGAAUCCUCGGCAUCGUGGUCAUCCGAUGAGAUCAUCGUGUAACAUGUGGGAACCAACAUGGGUAUCCAGAUCCCGCUGUUGGUUAUUGACCGGAGAACGUCUCGGUCAUGUCUGCAUGGUUCCCGAACCCGUAGGGUCUACACACUUAAGGUUCGAUGACGCUAGGGUUAUAAAGGAAGUUUGUAUGUGGUUACCGAAUGUUGUUCGGAGUCUCGGAUGAGAUCCCGGACAUCACGAGGAGUUCUGGAAUGGUCCGGAGGUAAAGAAUUAUAUAUGGGAAGUCCUGUUUUGGUCACCGGAAAAGUUUCGGGUUUUAUCGGUAAUGUACCGGGACCACCGGGAGGGUCCCGGGGGUCCACCAAGUGGGGCCACCAGCCCCGGAGGGCUGCAUGGGCCAAGUGUGGGAGGGGACCAGUCCCAGGUGGGCUGGUGCCCCCCCCCCCACAAGGGCCCAAGGCGCCUAGGGUUUGGGGAGGGGGCGCCUCCACCUAGCUUGGGGGGCAAGUUUCCCCCCCCCCUUGGCCGCCACCCCAGAUGGGUUUGGGGCUGCCGCACCCCUUGGGGUGGAAACCCUAGAGGGGGCGCACCCCCCUCCCUCUCCCCUAUAUAUACUUGAGGACUUUGGGGCUGCCAACACAUGAGUUUUGACCUCUCCAUGGCGCAGCCCUGCUUCUCUCCCUCCUCCUCUCCCGCGGUGCUUGGCGAAGCCCUGCAGGAUUGCCACGCUCCUCCACCACCACCACGCUGUUGUGCUGCUGCAGGACGAAGUCUUCCUCAACCUCUCCCUCUCUCCUUGCUGGAUCAAGGCAUGGGAGACGUCACCGGGCUGUACGUGUGUCGAACGCGGAGGUGCCGUCCGUUCGGCACUAGGAUCUGCGGUGAUUUGGAUCACGACGAGUACGACUCCUUCAACCCCGUUCACUUGAACGCUUCCGCUUAGCGAUCUACAAGGGUAUGUAGAUGCACUCUCCUUCCUCUCGUUGCUAGUUUCUCCUUAGAUAGAUCUUGGUGACACGUAGGAAAAUUUUGAAUUUCUGCUACGUUCCCCAACAGUGGUCGCAUGAGGGUGCUCGGCGGUUCUGGAUUAGUCUCGGGCUCGGGCCGGACAGAUCUAGGGUUGGUACGACAAUAAGGGCGAUGAUAUUGUGGUAGGCGCAUAUGACGGUGAUUCUCGUGGGCAUUCGCUUUCUUCUUGAAGGCGUCGUUGCGGCGGCAUGAUAGCUUCUUCACUUCGGGAGGGGGAGCCUCAGAUCCUCUAGGGGGUCGAACAAUGACGCAACCAAUGUGUCACACCUAUAUAAUGGGGCAUCAGUUUAGGAGUGGCUAGAGGUGGUAGGAUGGUGUUUGGCAAACGAGAUAUGAGUUCUCGAUCAUGUGGUGGGUACGGGCCUGGCCUUUUUCAUUUGAAGCCAGGUUGGCGAGUGUGAUCCUUCUUGGAUUACGUUGGUCCCAUACGACACUAGUCCCUCUCUCUAAAGGGUGUUGUCGGGUGACAACCGGACAGUCAAGCUAAAGGCGCCGGCAUUGCUUUGGUUAUAUGGUGAUGAAAGCCGAAGACCUCCUUGCCCUUGUUGCUGUGGUGUCUGUUGUGUGUUUGAGUGCUGACUCUGAACUUUCUAACGUGUUCUUCUUCAUCAUCAAUAAAAUACUACAACACAAUUUCUUUUUCCAGGAAGAAAAGGAGAAGGCUUGGGGUUCUGAACAACAAGCAAUCCUUGAAUUUCAGUUUCAUCACACUUCACACUACUUGAUAACAUAGUUUUUCAUAAUUUGGACUGCUUUUAAUUACGUAUCACUUUGGGAGACGAAGCAGCAUACAACUUGAUAUGUUUAUUAAGAGGACAUCGAGCACGAGACGACACACACGACCACAACGCCUUAUUACAGUGAGGCACGCACGUACGUAGACGUGCAGUACCGUAGAUAACGAGUCCCUGGAGAGCCUUAAUUAUAGGAGCUACGCUCAUUCUUGAAGGCAUGGCGAUAGGUGAGGUGAUACAUCACACACAUUAUAGUAGCAAGCAUCAUCAUAGUUAUUUAACCCAUUAGUGUUCGACUAUCUCGAUACGGUCGAUGAGUAGCCGAUUACUAGAUAGUAGUCGUCGAUUGCAGCAGCGACAAGCGACGAUGAACCCACACACGGGUUCUACAUGCAGAAGGGCUCACAGUUGAUGUCAAACUUGCAAGCAGAAGACAUCUGGGGCUCCUGCGAAGUUAACCACCAAUCGUGUAUAUAUAUAUGUGAGUAAACAUUUGCCGUCAUUGGUUGUGGAGCAAGAAAAUGUGAUGGGCUCACUACUCACCUCCACGCCGCUGAAGUUGGCGACCUUGCGGAUGGAGCAACCAACAGGGCCCUGCAGGCUGCAGUUGCCGGCGCCGGCGCGCAUGGUGGUCCUCAUGGAGGUGAGCAGGUGGCCAUAGGUGGUACGGGGCUCGCACUCGAGUGCCUUGAUGAAGCUGUGCGUCAGGGCACCGAUCGUGGCAUUGGGCUCAGGCAGCUGCACGCUCGCACGCACGAAUUAGCUACAUAAAUAUAUGCAUAUUGAAAAGAAAAAGCAACAAGGGAUUAUGCAUAUGGAUGCCGACCACGCUCAUCUGGGUCUUCCCGUUGCUGCUGCCACUGAUGAGCACGGCCUUGCCUCCGCUGGUGCCUUUGCAGGCGCCAUUCAGAGGGCGCUCGUCCAUCCACCUCAAGCACCCGUACCUGAAUUAAUUCGAAUUUCCGUUGCAGAAAUACUUCAGCCUCUACGAGUUGGUCAAAGGACUGAAAAGUUCACUUCAAAUUUCCCCAAAUAUUUUAAAAUUUAUUUGAUUUCUUUUGUGCAACUGAAAGUCUACAAAUAUUUUGAUCAAGAGGUAAAAUUUUUGGUUUCCACUAAAAUUAUUGAAAUUCAGUGGAUUUCAUUGACAUCCCACUGAAAAUGAAAACCUGAUGAAGGCAUGAAACAACUAGCGGAUGGCUUAUUAAGUACUAGAUGCAAGGGGAUAUGUAUGGGAGGGAUGGAGGUUAGGGCAUCUAUACUUAAAGUGCGAAAAAUGCUACCUAUCCUACUUUACUAAAUUUGGUGAUUUUUCUAGCAGAUUUUUAGGGAGUGCAAAACUCAAAUUUGAAUAAAAUUUGGGUUUAGGGGAUCUCCUAGUUGGUGUGUAUUUAUUUUACUCAAAAGCACUUUUGCUUCUCAAGCUUGAAUUUUAGGGGAUCCACUAGAGAUGCCCUUAGUUAGUCAGUUACUCACUGCUUGGAGAAGGUGCACCGGUAUGGGAGAUCGAGGACGGUGGCACUGUGGCAGGCGUCGACGAUGGCGUGGAGCUUGACGCCGUGCACCAGGGGGCGGACGAUGGCCUGGUUGAUCUCGUCGUCCAGGAUGGGGCCCUGCUGGAACGAGUCCACGGGACAGAUGGCCUCGUCCAUGCCGUCCCGCUCGUCGCCGUCGCAGUCGGGGACCUGCGCGCCGGCGCCGGAGAACUGGAACACGAGGGAGUCGCCGGAGCUGCACCCCUGCACCAGCCAGUGCAUAGCCAUGCGGAUGUUGGCCUUGGUCGGCUGCCUGCACGGGUCCCUCUCCUCAUCUGCAGCAAGUAACAAACACGGACACGGGUAAGCUCAAACAAAUCAGCUGCUGCUCAUGCCAUGACUGAAAAAUCUUGGUCGAUGUAUAAAUUACCGGUGAGGAUGAGGACGCAGUCGUUGGCGAAGCCGAAGCGCUCGGUGAGGAGGUACCUCAUGCACUUGACGUCGUUGAUGGGGCCCCUCAGCUCGCAGGCGCGAGUGUUGGUGUACUUGAUCCCCACCAGCACGGCGCGCUUCUUGCCGCGGCCACCGCCGAAGUUGGGGAUGGGGCGCACCACACUGAGCUGUCGGCCAGCCCCGCCGACGCGGGUCACGCAGCAGCACUGCGCGCACUGGACGGCACGGGCACCGGGCGGCGCCGCGACGCUGGCGCUGCACUGCCUGCAGCGCACCAUCGUCGCCGGAGCGGGACCGCUUCCGCAGUUCAUGGCUACCGAGCGCCGCAUGACCUGCUGGGUGGGUGGUGGUGAGCGCUGCUUGCUUGCUUGCUUGCUUGCACUGCCUCUGCCUCUCGCUCCUUCCCGCCCUUUAUAUAGCACCUGGAUGAUGGAAGCUAUGCACGUUGAUGCUGGCCCACUAGGAUUUAUAUAUUCAAGUAUUCUGUCUCAGAAAAUAAAGGUUUUCUUUAGUGGAAAUGGGCAUAUAUUGUUGUCGAUGGAACAUUUUUCUUGGCUUUUUCAAGAGAACGCCAUUGAUGCUCUGCAUAUCCUCCAAACCACAAGUGGAAAUGGGUACGUGAUUCUUUAUUGCUAUAAAAUUAUUGUAUGUUCUUCUUUUGUGGGAUUCUUUUCUUUUCCUUUUGGGGAAAUUCGCACAUGUCUUCCAUAAAAUAGUUACCACAUGACUCUCUGCCAAAAAAUGUUACAUACAACGAAAGCCCUUAAGCUUAGCGUAAUCAAGAUUUGUGUACAUGGUGUAUUUACGGUUAAAUAGCACUCCAUCUCUGCGCUAUAAACGUGUGGAGGGUUAUCACAUUAAGCCGUUUAGCACCAUUUACCACGCGAUCACUAGUAGAAAACAGGGCAUUUGUCCCGGUUCGUAAGGGCCUUUAGUCCCGGUUCAUGAACCGGGACUAAUGAGUCGUUAUUAAUACCUCCCCCCUUUAGUCAAGCCCACGUGGCCGGUGCGCCAAGCCCAGGCAGGGGGAACUUUGAUCCCGGUUGGUGCUAGCAUCCACGCGUCAGCAUUCUAGCGGCUGGGGUUUUUGUUUUUUUUGAAGGGGAGGGGGGGGGGUUGGGGGUUUUGGGGGGUUAAUUUAGGUGUUUCAUAUAUUGUAUUAGCUAGCUAAUUAAUAGAGAGAAGUGCCCUCUUUUAUGUCCGUGCUUGGUCGACGCUACGUACUAUAUACAUAAGUGAUCGAGAGAACCAUUGAGUCCAGAAGUUCGUCAUGCAUAUUGAGAAAAGUGAUCGAUCGACCUCUCCUUCUCCGAGAGAUUGGUCGAACAACAAGUUUUUGUAUCAUGUAUCCGACGCUACUUGCUACAUACAUGUACAAUAUGUAUAUGAUCUCUUAAUUACAAUCCCCUAGCAAUUGAAAUCAACUUCCACAUGGUAUUCUCCGGCUUUAUUGAUGACAUGGUCAAGAAAGAAUCCCGCCAAUUCCUCUUGAAUUGCUUUCAUGCGAUUUGGUUCUAGGAGUUCAUUCCGCAUUUGCCACGUCUAACUCGAAGAAGGGGGUUAAUUAAUACAUAUAUAUGAAUGAAACUCAAUAGAAAUGAUAGUGUAAUAAAAUGAAAUUGUGAAUAUUAUUGCUUACGCACUUCAUAUUGUCUUUUAGAGUAGCCCCGCUUGUUUUUUAAAGUCGCGUUGUGGAUGAACUCGCACACGUAGUAUCCACAGAAAUCAUUCCCUUGUUCCUGCCACAAGCACUUUACGAGAAAUAGAGGUCAAUCAAACUGAUAAUGAAGCAUUAUAAAUGGCAUUGAUGAAAGUAUAGCUAUAGGAUCAACGGGAGAUGCGCGCAACUAGCUAGCCAGUAGUACUUACUUUCGGGUAUGUAUAUCGCAGCUCCUUUGGCAGUCCCGGAGCUUCUGCGGUGUACUGUUUCCAAACCCUGAAAGACAAAGAAAAUAAUUAUUAUUACUUGAGAUAUCAGGAAAUGAACAAAGAGUUGCCGAUAUGGUGCGAUAAUGAUCGAUUGAACUUACUUGUUGAGCAAUUCAGUCAUGUCCGCAUAGGUUUCGGGAUCUUUCCGUCUCGAGUCUAAGACGGUUACUAGUCCCCGCUCAAGCUUAAUCUCCAAAAGAACAUAGUGGUACCUGCGCACGCAUGCAUAACUCAUCAAUUACAUUACUAUAACCUCGCUCGAGUAAUAAGGGAAACCGAAUAUGCACACGACAGUAAUACUCACUUGCCGUUGUAAGGAAAGAGUAUGGUAUCUUUGUUUUGAUUUUUGAUAAACGAUCGUAGCAAGUUGUCCUCGGCCUCUUUGACGUCCUUUUUAACCAGAAAUUCAUCUAUGAUAUUUGUGUUAAUAAACCCAAUAUCAUAAAUUUCUUGUUUUUUGCACUCGAUGAUCUUCAAUCUGCAUAAUAUAUUGAGGAUAAUUAAUUAUAAAUACAUGAAAUGAAAGAGCCGAGCUAUAUAUAGAGACUUAAUGACAGAAAUAGUACUUACAGACAGUAGCAAAAGACUAUUAGUUUAUCGAGGGCCUUUUGAUUGAAGAACGCGAAGAACUCAUCAAAUGGGACAGUCAACAGAUCAGUUGCAACGAGGUUGUGCUCCUCUUUAAUAUUCAGAUACAAAGCAUUCGUCCCCCUAGACUCUCUGCAGGUUUUCAUGUACCAAUUAUGGAAUCUUCGCAUCAUUGUUAUCAGAGAUUUUUCAUCUUUAACGAGAGGCUUCCCGUACUCGUAUCUGUGUUCGUCCACCUCCAAGAAAUCAGGAAGUUGAUCGUUAGGCAGGUAAUCUUCAAGAUUGCCAUAACCGGCCACCGGCCCCGGAGCAUUAGCGACAAUGUUGCCGCUAGACACAUUGAGCGGGGGGCACGAUUGGUUUGCUUGUUCGCCGAGCUGGUCAAUUUUUUUUGCAACUGCUCAUUCUCUUGACCUUAGAUGUCUGACAGUACUUCCCGACCGCUCCGCUUGAAGAUAUGUCUGUUCAGUAAUGCGCUCAUAGUUGGUUCUCGACGGAGACUUUGCCGGUUUCCUCAGGGCAUCGAGAGUGCGCUUUGCUUUCACCGGAUCUACCUUCUCCUCCGGAGGUGGAUGUCUCUUUGCUUUCACCCCUUCAAAGGACUCCUUCACGUGGAUCCGCACAAUCGUAUCAUUUUCCUCCUCGGUCCUCUCGUACGGUAACUUCUCUAGAGGCUUGAGAGGUGGACCGUAUCUGUAUUGCCUCCCGCCUCUGGUUGUGCUGCUAGACGCCGGAGCAGACGGAGCGGCUGCGGCAUCUGUCUUCUUUCGUGCUUGCUUACGAGGCGGAGGAGAAGGAGUACGACGUGCCGGAGCAGCCGGGGCGGCGGCGGGUCUCUUCCGCCCUUGCUGUUGAGGCGGAGAAGGAGGAGGUUGCUGGCUGCUCGGGAGCGCUGGCACAGGCGGAGAAGGAGGCGGAGUGCCGCCACGCGCCGGAGAAGGAGGCGGAGUGCCGCCACGCGUGCCCUGAUCGUCACUCGCCGGAGGAGGAGGCGGUGGAGGAGGCGGAGUGCCCUGACUCGCCGGAGGAGGAGGAGGCGGAGGCAUCCAGUUCGGAAGGUUGAUGAGCUCCUUCCGCCAUAGGGAUGGAGUCUUCAGAGCAGAACCUAGCCUAGUCUCCCCUUCAUCGGUAGGGUGGUCAAGCAGGAGGUCCUCAAAUCCCUCCGUCACCUUAGCAUAUCCUUCUGGAAUCGGCCGGCAACGAUAAGUUGCUCCGAUCCAGUAGGAUAAACAGAGCCAAUAGCCGUUUUGACCUUCAAAUUCAUCCAUUGCGCCAUAAUGUGGCAAUUUUGAGACUCCGUGAUAGCAUCCACGGAAUAGCUGGCAGGAGCCGUCAAGACAUGCUCCGGCUGAAGCAGCUCGGUGGAAGCCACGCUGCUUCUCUGCUGAGAUGGCAGGGUAGCUUCGGGAGAAGCUUCGGCAGGUCGUUUGCUCCGAUCUGCUGCUUCUCGUUCCUCUAGCCCCAUUACCCUUUCGUGUUGCGCCUGCAGUUGGCCCUGCUCCAGUUUCUUCCUCCUCUCGUGAGUUUUGUACCCCCCUGCGUCCGAAAAACCAACCUUCCACGGAAUGGAGCCUGGCGUGCCUCGUGUCCGUCCAGGGUGCUCAGGAUUCCCGAGGGCCAUUGUGAGCUCGUCCUUCUCCCUGUCUGGAAGGAACGCCCCUUGCUGCGCUGCAUUAAUAUAGUGUCGAAGGUUCUUGAGGGGUAUUUGCAGUUGCUCGUUCGUCCAACGGCACUCCCCUGAUAUAGGGUCCAAGGUUCCGCCAGCCCCGAAGAACCAAGUCCGGCAACGGUCUGGCCAGUACAUUGUCUCUGGUUUGAUCCCUUUUUCAAGCAGAUCAUUCUCCUCCUUGGACCACUUAGGCCGGGCUUUGAGGUAGCCACCUGACCCCGUGCGAUGGUGAAGCUUCUUCUUCGCAACAUUUUGCUUGCUCGUCGCCGACAUCUUCUUACUCUUUUCCGAUGUCUUGUGGGCCACAAAUGCGGGCCAGUGAUCUUUGAUCUUCUCAUAUUUACCGAUGAAUUCUGGUGUCUUUUUUUGUCGACAAACUUGUUCAGCUCUUUCCUCCACCUCCUGAAUAGGGUUGCCAUCUUCUUAAGAGUACAAGACUUGAUUAAUUGCUCUUUAACUAGCUUCUCUGGAUCCUGCUCUGGCGGUAGGGUGAAAUUUGCCUUCAGCUGAGUCCAAGGAUCUUCUUUCUGCAUAUCAUUGACAUAAGACACCUCAGGGUCGUCCUUAGGCUUAUACCAUUGCUGGAUGUUGAUCGGGAUCUUGUCCCUAACAAGAACCCCGCACUAAGCAGAAAAUGCGUUCUUUGUCCGGAUGGGUUCAAUCGGUUCGUCGUCGGCGCGAUUUCUAUGAUCUCAAACCUUUCAUCCGAGCUCAACUUUUUCUUCGGGCCUCGUCUCCUUACCGAAGGUGUGCUCGAUCCGGAGGGCUAGAAAUUAAAAGGAAGAAACAAGAGUAAUUAAUAUGUGUACAUAUACCAAAAUAAUGGAUGCAUCAAUUAACUAGUCAGCACGGGUUUAACUAAUAUAUAUAUAUAUAUAUAUAUAUACCUGGCCGGACUCGGUUCGGUCACCGGAGCAGUCAGCACGGUCUCCUUCUUGUACCUCCAUUGUGUCACCGGAGCCAUCAUGAACAUAGCCCUCUUCUUGUACCGGCAUUAAUGGGCCGAAGCCAUCAUGAACAUAGCCCUCUUCUUCACCCAGUCCUUCCAGCGUACCAUCGGUGUCGUUGAGAAAUGACGCAACUUCAUCACUUCCUUGUGCGAUUAUGUGCCCCAACAUCACUUCUGUUGCUUCGUCUCGGGAGUGCUCCAUAGUUACUGCAAAUAUUUACAACAUGUCAAUUAUUAUUCAAACAUGGUACAAAUGGAUAUAUAUAUAUAUAUAUAUAUAUAUAUAUAUAUAUAUAUAUUAGUGGCAAACGUAAAACUAGCUAGCUAAUCACAAUAAGGAAUCAUGUUAGUGGCCUCGACGCUGCUUCUGUAGGGUUUGGGGUCGCCUCGGCGCAACGCUUCAAGGGUUUGGGGUGGCCUCGACGACAACGCUCUUUUAACUUGGUAAAUUUGGGUGGCCUCAAGAGAGUUUGUCGGGUAGGGCGCAGCGGGAGGGGGUAGAGACCAACAUCGUUUUUUCUCUAGGGUUUGGGUGUCCUCGCGAGUUUUGGUCGAGCGAGAGGGCCGAGAGCAGCCUGACGGUGACAGACCCGAUAAAACAUAAGAAAACGAAGAAGAAAUAAAAAGAGGAGAAGAAGAAAGGAAUAGAGGAGAAGAUCGAAGAAAAAAAGAAGAAAAAAAAGAGGAGAAGAAGAAAAAAUAGAAAUCUAUUUUUUCUUCUUCUCCUCUAUUCCUUUCUUCUUCUCCUCUUCCUUUUCUUCUUUUUUGUUCUUCUUAUUUAUUUCUCCUCUAUUCCUUUCUUUCUUAUUCUCCUCUUCUUUUUCUUCUUCUCCCUCGAGAAAGGAAAAUAAUUAUGGAAAAGAAAGAAAAGAGGAAGAAGGAAGAAGGAAGAAGAAGAAGAAAGGAAUAGAGGACAAGAAGAAAAAAUAGAAUUUUUUUUCUAUUUUUUCUUCUUCUCCUCUAUUCCUUUCUUUUUCUCCUCUUCUUUUUCUUCUUUUUUCUUCUUCUUAUUUAUUUCUCCUCUUCUUUUCCUCUCCUCUCUUCUUUCUUUCCUCUUCUUAUUUUCUUCUUUCCUAUCCUUCUUUUUCUAAAAUUGUAACUUUUGCAUAUAUAAAACUUUUCUAAAAUUGUAACUUUCUAUAUAUGAACAAAAAACUUUCUAUGAACAAAAAAACAUUUUUAACAUAUAUAUUUAGCAAAUUCUAGCCACAUACAUCACAUACACAUAUACAUUAUAGCCACAUACACAUAUACAUCACACAUGAACAAAAAAAUAAACUAAUAAAAAUAAAAAAAACAUGUAGCAACAUAUGAACAAAAACAUAUAGCCACAUACAUACACAUACAUUAUAUAUAUAUGAAAGAAAAUAAACUAAUAAAAAAACAGAGCCGGCCGGGCAGAGGGGCAUGGCGGCAGCGGUGGCGCCGGUGGGGCAGGGCAGGUGUGCGGGAGCGAGGCAAGGCAGGGGCGCGAGGCAGGUGCUCACAGGGUGGUGGCGGGGCACGGCGGGCGGCGUCAGGGCGCGGGAAGCGGCGCCGGCGUCGGGGCAGAUGGCGUCGAGGGCGGCGGCGACGGUGAGGUGGACCAGCCUGACGGCGUCGGAGGCGGCGGCGACGACGAGGUGGAGCAGCCUGACGGCUCGGCGGCGACGGCGACGAGGCAGAGCAGCGGGCGUCGGGCGGAGAAGAAAGGGAUGGAUUUUAGAGAAACUGCUAAGUGCUAGUUAUAUAUGAAGAGAAUUGGUCCNNNNNNNNNNNNNNNNNNNNNNNNNNNNNNNNNNNNNNNNNNNNNNNNNNNNNNNNNNNNNNNNNNNNNNNNNNNNNNNNNNNNNNNNNNNNNNNNNNNNNNNNNNNNNNNNNNNNNNNNNNNNNNNNNNNNNNNNNNNNNNNNNNNNNNNNNNNNNNNNNNNNNNNNNNNNNNNNNNNNNNNNNNNNNNNNNNNNNNNNNNNNNNNNNNNNNNNNNNNNNNNNNNNNNNNNNNNNNNNNNNNNNNNNNNNNNNNNNNNNNNNNNNNNNNNNNNNNNNNNNNNNNNNNNNNNNNNNNNNNNNNNNNNNNNNNNNNNNNNNNNNNNNNNNNNNNNNNNNNNNNNNNNNNNNNNNNNNNNNNNNNNNNNNNNNNNNNNNNNNNNNNNNNNNNNNNNNNNNNNNNNNNNNNNNNNNNNNNNNNNNNNNNNNNNNNNNNNNNNNNNNNNNNNNNNNNNNNNNNNNNNNNNNNNNNNNNNNNNNNNNNNNNNNNNNNNNNNNNNNNNNNNNNNNNNNNNNNNNNNNNNNNNNNNNNNNNNNNNNNNNNNNNNNNNNNNNNNNNNNNNNNNNNNNNNNNNNNNNNNNNNNNNNNNNNNNNNNNNNNNNNNNNNNNNNNNNNNNNNNNNNNNNNNNNNNNNNNNNNNNNNNNNNNNNNNNNNNNNNNNNNNNNNNNNNNNNNNNNNNNNNNNNNNNNNNNNNNNNNNNNNNNNNNNNNNNNNNNNNNNNNNNNNNNNNNNNNNNNNNNNNNNNNNNNNNNNNNNNNNNNNNNNNNNNNNNNNNNNNNNNNNNNNNNNNNNNNNNNNNNNNNNNNNNNNNNNNNNNNNNNNNNNNNNNNNNNNNNNNNNNNNNNNNNNNNNNNNNNNNNNNNNNNNNNNNNNNNNNNNNNNNNNNNNNNNNNNNNNNNNNNNNNNNNNNNNNNNNNNNNNNNNNNNNNNNNNNNNNNNNNNNNNNNNNNNNNNNNNNNNNNNNNNNNNNNNNNNNNNNNNNNNNNNNNNNNNNNNNNNNNNNNNNNNNNNNNNNNNNNNNNNNNNNNNNNNNNNNNNNNNNNNNNNNNNNNNNNNNNNNNNNNNNNNNNNNNNNNNNNNNNNNNNNNNNNNNNNNNNNNNNNNNNNNNNNNNNNNNNNNNNNNNNNNNNNNNNNNNNNNNNNNNNNNNNNNNNNNNNNNNNNNNNNNNNNNNNNNNNNNNNNNNNNNNNNNNNNNNNNNNNNNNNNNNNNNNNNNNNNNNNNNNNNNNNNNNNNNNNNNNNNNNNNNNNNNNNNNNNNNNNNNNNNNNNNNNNNNNNNNNNNNNNNNNNNNNNNNNNNNNNNNNNNNNNNNNNNNNNNNNNNNNUUUUUUAAUUCUUUUUGCUUUUAGUUUUAGAAAAAUUAUAAACUUUCUGUUAGUGCCAUUAGUUUUCAAAUUUGAAAACACUUUUUUUGUUUUUUUGUUUUCUUUCUUGCUUUAUUUAUUUUAUUUUAUUUCUACUUACAACAAAAUACUUAUUGUUGCUAUUUUUAAUUAUUACGAGGGCCGAACCAUAAGACAUUAAAGCAUUUCAAAUGAACUAUGAAAAAGUUAAAAGUUGGCAUGGUAUCAUAAAUUUACCCACAUAGCAUGUGCAUGUACAAAACGGACAAUGGUAUCGUACUCGUCUAUUAUAAAGUUAGCAUGGUAUCAUCAUAAUAGUUGUGGGAGAAAGUCUUCACUUUUUCUUCGCUUGUGUCAUUUGCUUAUUGCGCCGUAACCAUGGAUAAUCUUCAUCGUUUAUCAGGAUGCUGGGGUCAGCCUUGACUUUGAAGGGAGGAAUUUCAUGAAACUUUUCAUAAUCUUCAGACAUGCCUGUCUUGCCCUCCACUCCCACGAUGUCCCUUUUCCUGAAAGAACUAUGUGGCGCUUUGGCUCAUCGUAUGAUGUAUUCGCUUUCUUAUCUUUUCUUUUUCUCGGUCUGGUAGACAUGUCCUUCACAUAGAUAAUCUGUGCCACAUCAUUGGCUAGGACGAAUGGUUCGUCAGUGUACCCAAGAUUUUUUAGAUCCACUGUUGUCAUUCCGUACUAUGGGUCUACCUGUACCCCGCCUCCUGACAGAUUAACCCAUUUGCACUUAAACAAAGGGACCUUAAAAUCAUGUCCGUAGUCAAGUUCCCAUAUGUCGACUAUGUAACCAUAAUAUGUGUUAUUUCCCCUCUCGGUUGUUGCAUCAAAGCGGACACCGCUGUUUUGGUUGAUGCUCUUUUGAUCUUGGUCAAUCGUGUAAAAUGUAUUCCCAUUUAUCUCGUAUCCUUUUCAAAUCGUAACAGUCGAAGAUGGUCCCCUGGACAACAAGUACAGCUCAUCACAAACAGUGUUGUCACCUCUGAGACGUGCUUCCAACCAACAGUUGAAAGUCCUGAUGUGUUCACAUGUAAUCCAGUCGUCGCACUGCUCCGGGUGUUUGGAGCGUAGACUGUUCUUCUGAUCAUCGACAUACGGGAUGCAUGUAUCUUCUGCACCUCCAAUCCUAGAGGGCAUACGACCUUCUUUGCUGCGUAUGUACUGUCAGGCAAUUCGUUAUCCUUUGGAAGCUUCUUCUUCAAUAUUUUCAGUAGCUUCUCAAAUCCUUUGUCAGGCACAACAUUCUCUGCCUUCCACUGCAGCAAUUCCAGUACGGUACCGAGCUUUGUGUUGCCAUCUUCGUAAUUGGGGUACAACCCUUUUUUGUGGUCCUCUAACAUGCGAUCAAACUUCAGCUUCUCCUUUUGACUUUCGCAUUGCGUCCUUGCAUCGACAAUGACCCGGCGGAGAUCAUCAUCAUCGGGCACAUCGUCUGGUUCCUCUUGAUCUUUAGCAGCUUCUCCUGUUGCAGCAUCAUCGUGCACAUCGUCUGGUUCCUCUUGAUCUUCAGUAGCAUCACCGUAUUCAGGGGGCACAUAGUUGUCAUCGUACUUUUCUUCUUCGCCGUCUUUCAUCAUAACCCCUAUUUCUCCGUGCCUCGUCCAAACAUUAUAGUGUGGCAUGAAACCCUUGUAAAGCAGGUGGGUGUGAAGGAUUUUCCGGUCAGAGUAAGACUUCGUAUUCCCACAUAUAGGGCAUGGACAACACAUAAAACCAUUCUGCUUGUUUGCCUCAGCCACUUCGAGAAAUUCAAGCACGCCCUUAAUGUACUCGGAGGUGUGUCUUGAACCGUACAUCCAUUGCCGGUUCAUCUACGUGCAUUAUAUAUAAUUAAGUGUGUCAAAAAUCAUUACAGAACAUCACGAAUAGAUAAUUAAGUGACCAAAUUAAUAGAAGUUCAUCAUCACAUUAAAACCAAAGUACAUACAUAGUUCUCAUCUAACAACAUAAAGCUCUGCAGAGCAUCUAAAUUAGUUAAACCAUACAUUGAAACUAUGUAAAACAUUUCAAUGCGAAAACAAAUGCGAUCAUAAUCGCAACCAAUGUAACAACUGAUCCAACGGCAUAAUGAUACCAAGCCUUGACAUGAAUGACAUAUUUUCUAAUCUUUCUAAUCUUCAAGCGCAUUGCAUCCAUCUUGAUCUUGUGAUCAUCCACGACAUCCGCAACAUGCAACUCCAAUAUCAUCUUCUCCUCCUCAAUUUUUCUAAUUUUUUCCUUCAAGAAAUUGUUUUCUUCUUCAACUAAAUUUAACCUCUCGACAAUAGGGCCGGUUGGAAUUUCCGGUUCAACAACCUCCUAGAUAAAUAAAAUCUAUGUCACGUUGGUCGGCAUAAUUGUCAUAAACAAUAGAUAAACCAAUAGUUAUGAAAAGAUAAUAUAUAGCACAUCCGAAUCAUAGACAGGACGAGGGCCGACGGGCGGAUACCAAAACCAUCGCACUAUAUAAGAUGCAAUAAUAAAAGUAAGAAAAUUAUACAAGUAUCUAUAUAAACAUACAAGUAAGAGUUUUUUUCCUUCCAGAAAGAAGAUAAGAACAAGAGGCUCACCACGAUGGUGCCGGCGACGAGAUCGGCGCGGGCGAUCGACGGCGGUGAAGACGGGGACGGGACGUGACGGACCGCUAAACCUAGACAAAUAUUGAGGAAAAUGGAGUUUGGAGGUCGAGCUUGGAGAGGAGAAAGCUUAAGUAGUGUGGCUCGGUCAUUCCAUCGAACACCUCGUGUGCAUAGGAGGUGAGCUAGAGCACCACAAAGCUUUCUCCUUGCCGGCCACGAAAAACAGAACAGUGAGAGUGCUCUGCUCGCGGGUAUAUAUAGGCAAUUAAUUGGUCCCGGUUCGUGAUUUGAACCGGGACUAGAUGGAAGCCUUUGGUCCCGGUUCAGACCACCAGCCGGGACCAAUGGUGGUGGGCCAGGAACAAGGCACAUUGGUCCCGGUUCGUCCCACCAACCGGGACCAAAAGAUCCAGACGAACCGGGACCAAUGGCCCACGUGGCCCGGCCGGCCCCCGGGGCUCACGAACCGGGUCCUAUGCCCCCAUUGGUCUCGGUUCUGGAUUGAACCGGGACUAAUGGGCUGACCCGGCCUGGACCAUUGCCCCCUUUUCUACUAGUGGAUAGCUCCAAUUUAGCAUGGUAAUGCUUUUGUGGCUAUUUACAAUUGCCAUUGCUCACUAUUGAAAAUUUCGGUUAAUUCUCAUUUAGGCAGUUGCGGAAGCUGAAACUGUCACUGAACUAGCUAGGCUGAACAUUUAUUGCUACACACUGCGUGAACUAUAAUGGGGCAAUAUUUUUCCAUACUUAUUGAUUUUUCACAAACAAAAUUCCCACAAAUGGGUAGCUUAAAGCAUCCGCAAGAAGGGCUCUACUCAAGCCCGUCACCUUUUUUUUCUUGCCAAAGGCUAAAAAUAUAUGCUCUGGCGGGGUCUCUACUUAAGCUCCCAAAAUAGGGAGGCCCCUGGAAAACCAGCAACAACCCCCAAGAAUAGGGGAUGCCCCCCAUAACCCCUAUCGUUGGGUAUAAUAGGAAUGAUGGAAACUUCUGCCCCAAGCCCAUGCACCGACACGCCUCCUGCCCGACGGAGCUCCUGCCGCGCCAAGGUUUCCAUGCUGCUAGCAUAGUUUGACCUUUCUCGAGCCUUGCUCGGCUCCGUUACCAUUCUCCCCUGAUGAAGUUCCGCCAGCCAACACCUCCACCGCUUCAUUGUAUGCCGACGUUGCCCUACCACAUGCGUCAGCCGCCCUGACGCUGCUGGCUCUUGAGCUCCGCUGCCGCUCAUUUGCGGCCCCCAAGCUCUACCCAGUUGAUGAGAGAGGAUAGAGACGUGGGAAAAAUAAGAAGUAGUUGAGUAGGUCAUGAGCCUUUUUUUGGGGGGGGGGGGUGCAUCUAUCAUGGUAACUAGGGGGCAAUCAUUGAAGUUCGAUCAAUUUUGGGUUCAGAAAAUGGAGCUUAAGCCCUAUUUGACCUACCUAUAUGGGCACUAAAAUAGGGAUUAUUGCCAAAGAUGCGUUUGAGGUGAAAAAUCUUUCAUUCUCCCAUAUACUCAGGCCUUUUUGUUAUUCGGGUUGAUACAAUCAUUUGGCACUCACAGUGUGCAGCUUAUAUGUUAGCAUUAUCAGAUUUUUCCUGGGUACGAAUUGUGUGUUGGAAGAGUUGACCAUAUGGAAUCUGAAGCAUUGAGAGAGAAAUAUCAGAGAUGUUAACUCACCAGAAAGAGAGAAUUCCCAUUACCAUCAGGGCAAAAGCAAAGGAUACAACUUACCCCUGCUAGUUUAGAAAACCUAACUCCUCCUGUGAUGAUUGACAUAUAUCUUCAAACUAGAAUUGACAUGAUUUGAUGUGUGUUGUAUUAAGCCUCUCUCAGGCUGUUUACGUAGAGUAUAAGAGCAUCUAUAACCGUCCCCCUCAAAUCUGCACCAAACGCCCGAACGGGCUGCCAGGUCAGUGACCAGACACAAAAGCGGCACCCAACUGGGCCCUCCAAAUCCGGUCCAAAUGCCCGGACGGGGGCACCACAUCGGAUCAGCCCACUAGGGCCCGCGCUACCCCCACAAAAACCCCAUCCUAUCCGACGAACCCUAGUCAAACCGCUGUCCAUACUCGUCUUCUCCGCUCUCCUCGUCUCACCCGCUUCCUCCGAAACCAUACCCUCCCCUCCAGCGUGGCCAACUCCGGUGAGCGCUCUGGCAGCGAAUCCGACCCCGUUGACUUGAACGGGCUCGUGAAGUAGGAGGACGUCGGAUCUAGCUGCAAUACACCGGACGACGAGGAGUUCGUGAUCCACAUCGCCAUCGAUCGCUCGUGUGUGGACACCGGCAGUAACUCGAGCUCCCUCACAUCCGCCGCUAGCUCCUACACCUCCUGAUGUAGGAAUGCAGGAUGCAGUCGCCCUUCCUACUCCGCGCUACUCCAGAUCCGUCCGGCGGCCGUUUCACAUUGCCUUCUGGCGUGCGCACCACCCGAGCGACGGUGCGUGCUCGUGCCCGGGGAUGCGUAUGCCGGAGUUAGAGGAGCAGGCGGCUCGGUGUGAGCGGCAGAUUUGGCGGCGCCCAGCUCUUCCUGCCAGCGAGCGUGCUCCUCCCUGUUGUCCUGGAGGAGGCGCUCCUCCACGAGGUCAUGCGGUGGUCACUGACCACGCUGGAGACCAACGCUCGACACCUCCGGUGCAAGAACCCGAAGGCGCUCUGCCUCGGUCUCGAGGUGUCUAAGAACCUCGCCCGGCACGAGGAGACCGCCGCCGUCAAGGCCGCUUGCCAUGCCAAGCAGCAGUAGUGCCUCCUCUGCCGCCUCUUCGGGUGCAUUUUGUCCGCAUCGAAGAGCAGCACCACCACGGACGACAAUGACCCUCCCGCCGCCGACGCGUACAUAGAGGAGAUGGACCGCCGCGCUGCCUACUGCAAGGGGAGGGGCCAGACCAAGAAGUGGUGAACUCCGGUUGCCCACCAUGCCAGUUUAGAUUUUAGUUGUUUUUAUGUUUGUUUUAGAUUUAAUUUGAGCUAGCUCGGCCCUUUUGGAUGAACAAAUUGCAUGUCCGAUGCGCAUAAAAUGCAUGAGUUUGCAUGAAAUUGAGUAUCUGCAUUUGGGGUUUGGUGUUGUGGAGGGGAAACUUGGGUACUGUCAAGGCAGUGCCAGCGAACACGUGUGUGGGCAUAUAGGGCAUCGAAUUAGGUGUUUCUGGUUGUAGAUAGUCUAAGGCUUAAAGCAUAGGAGUCUCUCCUAGAGAUAAGCUAGAAGAUGGAUUGCAAAUUAUAUUAUACCAUGAAAUAUAGAGAUAUGCUAAUAUAUUCCAACAGACCAGAAGUAAUCUAAUGCGUGCAACGGAAAUAUCUGAGAUGCCCUGUCACUGUUCAGAUAAAGAGGGAAAUUCCCAUAUCAAUCAAGUAAAAAUGAAAUGAUCCAAGUUAAUUACCGGCGCUAGAGAUCCAAGUUGAUUGAAAACCCCAACUACAAUGACUGACGGUGCACGUCUAUCUCCAAGCUAGAAUCGGCCCUGUAAUUAUUCUUAGAAACCAAAUGGAAAGAGAAGAGGAGGAAGUGCCUGCAGCCUGCCGGCCCAUGCUCAUGAUAUAAUAUUCCUCCCGAUAAGAAGCAAGGAAGGCAAGGAGGCGGUGAGCCGGACGAGAAGAUAAUACGAUUCGGAUUCGGGCGCCAUCAUUUGCUGUGCUUUAUAGACCGGCGUGCCUUCUUUUUCUUUUCUUUUGGACAGGAGCCACCCAAGUUGCUCGUCGAAUUCACUUUCCCCGAGGCAACUGAAGUUGUUAGUGACGAAUCACGCCAGCGUAUGAAACCUUUUCCAGAAAAAGGAAAAUGGGCAGCGAGUGAGAGCGCAAGUAGUACAAAAUUAGAACUGCGAACAGUUUCUAUAUGCCAUGAACAAGUAGUAGAAAAAAUGAUUAAACAUGCAGACAUUUUUUAUGUGUUGUGAACAAUUUUUAAAUUUCAUGAACAUUUCGUAAAUGUGUGAUCAUUUUUAAAUGUCAUGAGAAAAAAAUGAAUGGGAUGAAGUUUUAUAAAAAAGUGAAAGAAUUUUUUUAUUGUAUGCCUCGAUCUCACAAUAAGCAAGGCUUCGGCUCCUGAUGCAGUGGCGUGUCAAGCCCAUCAUGCGCAUAAAAACAAAAUCAAGAUGUGAUUAGCGGCGCUAGAGACGUUAAGUUUAGGGCCUGUUCUGUCUCAAAAAAAGUUAAAAUAGGAACUGUUAGGAACAUACUAUUUCUGGAGGAAUUUUACAGGAAAGCUAUUCCUAUGGAACAGUUACCUUUCCAAGCAUCCGAAAUGGAGGAAAUUGAAUAGUGUUCCAGAGGAAAGUUUUAUCUCCCGUGGUGAUUCCAGAGGAUUGGAAACAUCCAUCGCAACCUCAUAUUUUAGCGGAAGCCUGAGGCAAGGACCUAACCGGCAUGCAACAUGAAGUUUUGUGAGGGAGCAACCAAAUAAAGAGAUCCCUAGCUAUAUAUCGUUUUGGCUCCAGAGCACCCAAAUAAAGAGAACCCUAGCUAUAUAACGUUCUGGCUCCUGGAUUUCUCAUGUACAAACUGCCUUUGUUAAUGGAAGAUACAUUAUGGAAGGACCGAGAUACAUAACAGAAGAAUUUUUGAUCUUCCAUGAGACCCUCAAUUUAUUUAUGCUAAGGCGAACCAACCUGGGUUGGAUGGCUAGGAGGAGAGUGGUAUCACUAGCCCACCAGGGUUCAAAUCUUAGACAUGACCUUAGUUCUCGCAUUUUCCUGAAUAUAAUUCAGGUCUUCCGACGAUGUGCGUUCAGUGGGAGGAAACGCUCCCAUCGAAAACAAAGACAUAAGUGGCGAUUUCGUUAAUCUCAAGAUGAAGUGUCGGUCAAGUCUCUCGGAGGUGCUCAUGGGUCUACCUAUGCUACACUUACAGGCUACCUGUGCCAAGAACCGUGGGCCAAAAAUGCUUGGGCACCCACAUGUGUAGGCAGAAAUGGUACACUAACCAACACCACCCCUGAAUUUCACUGUGGGCCAAAAAUGCUACACUUACAGGCUACCUCUAUGCCAAGAACUUACGGGCCCUCCCUCUCACCAACCAACCUCCCCCCCCCCCUCCCUCGGCCUCCCUGAAUUUAACUAUGGGCCCCUUCCCCUGGGAACUCCUAGUCAGCGCCGCGCAAGCUGACCGGCGCCUGCAGCCGCGGCUGGAUGGGCCGGCCCACAAUGGCGCAGCGAGAAAAAAGGCGGCCGAGAAACCUGCUAUCGAUCGGGAUCGAUCUCGCGCGCUCACGCUUCCAAAGAGCGAGGCUAACCACAUGACCAACCAAACUGUAGUGAUUAUGUAGAGCGUGAAGCUUAAAAGAAUAGAAACAAAGACGCACUAUUAAUUUCGCAUUACACUGUAGAGUUUAAUUUUUCCAAUUAUUUAAAAACAUGUGCACAUAUUACAAAUGAAGUUCACGCGCAUGCAAAAAUAAUUCGCGUACUCAAAAAAUAGUUCAACAAAUAAAAAAAGUUCAUGUAUUCAAAAUAAAGUUCACAGAUUCAAAAGAGUUCAUCGAUUUUCAAAAAAUGUCCAUCGAACAAUAAAAUUAGUUCAUAAAUUUGAAUAAAAAAAGUUUAUCAAUUUGAAUAAAAAAAAUUCAUUGAAUUUGUUAAUCUAAAUUGGAAAAGGUUCAUGUAUUCAAAAACAAGUUCACAGAUUCAAAAGAGUUCAUCGAUUUUCAAAAAUGUUCAUCGAACAAUGAAAGUAGUUCAUCGAUUAGAAUAAAAAAGUUCAUCAAUUUGAAAAAAGUUCAUCGGAUUUGGAGAAAGUUCAUCAGUUUUGAAAAAAGUUCAUCAAUGUUGAAAAAAAGUUCAUAAAAUUUGAAAAAUAAGUUCAUCAAUUUUGAAAAAGGUUCAAGAGUUUCAAAAAAACAGGUCAUGGAUUUUGAAAACAAGUUCAUCUAUUUGAAGAAAACAAUUACGAAUUUGGAAAAAGAAAGAAGAAAAGAACAGAGAAAAAAGAAAAAGAAAGAAAAAAGGAAAACUGGAAGGUAUAAAUGGAUGAAAAACGUUAGUGUUGCUCAGUUAGUGAGGUAGUGGGGUCGGUCACGCCACGAUCACUGAUAACCAGCGAUGCAGGGUUUGAAUCCUAGCUCCCGCUGUGUUUUUGCACUUUUCCGUAGAGUUUGGAUAGUGGAAGAAAAAUGAAAGAUGGGCCGGUUAGUAAAAACAGUAGAAAUCGGCGCCUGCAGCGCUAAAUAGGAAUUGCCGAUUUUCCUAUAACCAAAAAAUGCCACACAAGACUGUGAGAUCCCGUCCGUAGGUGAAUCAUUGUUCUUGGCUCUUAUAGGCUGGUUACUAGUCCUUUUUGUAGUGAGCUUGCACGCUAGGAAUUGUUGCUGCUUAGAUAGCCCACCCCAUAUCGGCUUCUAAUUUACAUUGUGAACACGUUCUUUGAACUUUAAGAACAUUUUUUUUCAAAUCCGUCAAGUUAUUUCAAAUUUAUGAGUUUUGAUUAUUUUUUAAAAACAAUUCAAAUCUGUGAAUAUUUUGAAAUUCGUUACUUUUAUGAAUUUGUGAACUAAUUAUGAAUUCACAAAUUUUUUGAAACAUUGAUGAACUUUUUAAUAAUCCGUGAACAUUUCUUCAAAUGGGCGAACAUUUUUACUGUUCAUGAAGAAAAAACAAAUUUGGUGAACAUAUUUUAUAUACACAAACAUUUUUACAAAUUUUGGACUUUUUAAAAUCCAUGAACAUUUUCUGAUUUCAAUUAGUUUUAAACGCAGCCAGUUUAGCCGGUAUUUUCAUAAAGCAGCAGCGGCAAAAGGGUACGAACUUACCAGCCACUGAGCGGAACCAGCAAGCAACCAAUGCUUUUAGGACUGAGGCACGUCUAACUGGUGUGGGCGGCACAUGAAGCGCUGAGGAGGUCUCACCCCUACCGUAUUUCCUAUUCGGCGCCUUAUGCGCCGGAUAGAGUACUUCUUGCAAACCGCGCACAACAAAUCCACAGCAAUGUCGAUCUACAUGAGCUGGCCCGUUAGUUAUUCUCUUUUUCGUCGGUUUUCCUGGGAACCUUUCCAUGAAUGUUGCGCAAUUUUUCCUGGGGCGAUUUUUCUACUGGUUUUUACCCAACAUGGGUGUUUGCUAGUUUUCUAUUUUUGCUUUUGCUUUCUGUUUUUCUAAACUUUUUUAUUUCUUUUCCAUUUUUCGGUUUUAUCAAAUUCCUGAAUGUUUCAAAAUUUAUCCAUGUUUUUGAAAUUUGUGAAUUUUUUGCAGAUUUGUAAACUAUUUUCCAAUUUAUGAUUUUUUUGAAAGUUUGUGAAUUAUCUUUCAUUUUCAUGAUUUUUUCCAAAUGAUGAACCUUUUCAAUUCUUGAACUUUUCUCAAGUUAUUGAACUUUUUUGCAAUUGCUCAACUUUUUUUAUUAAAUUCAUGAAUAUUUUUCAAAAUCAAGAUUUUUUUAUAAUUCAUGAACCUUUUUUCUAAAAUUCGUCAGCUUGUUCUCAAAUCGUGAUUUUUUUUCAUUCAGAUUUGCAGGAAAAAAGUAAAAUCAUUACUUUUUUCUCAAAUACGAGGACAGUUUUGAAAUUCAUGAACUUUGUUGCUAAUGCUUGAACUUUGUUCAAUUUGUGCUUUUUUUGGUCAAAUACGUCCACUUUUCUCAAAUCAUGAAUUUGUUUUGGCAAAUUUGUGAAAACACAUCAAAAUCAUGAACUUCUUUUCAAAUUCAUGAUAUUUUUGGCAAGUUUGUUAACUUUUUUCAAAUUUGUUAACUUUUUUGCGAAUUCGUGUACUUUUUUUUUCAAAUCGGUACACUUUUUUAAGAAUAUGUGGUUUUUUCCAUGGUCAAGCAUCAAUAGCCAUGUUAGCAGUCAACUCUCGCUAUCAACGAUCAAUGGCGAACGAAGCAAGCGAACCGUCCGACCGCUAUGGGUCGCGGCCUACUAAGCUUGCGCGUGAGUGCCACAUACCUAGCAAGCGCUAUAGGCGCCAAUUAGGAGGUUUCUCACCCUAUUGCGUCACAGAACUAUUGCUCUUCUUCACUCUUGACGCGAAGUGGGCCGUCCAAAUAACAUUUUCAACCAGUUUAAAGAAUUUUUGAUGGACUAGUUUUAUCCAACGGAAACACCUAUAUUUGUCCGCUUAGCAGUCUGGACGUACGGAUUUGAGUAUCCAAGAGACAAAAAUGGAAGGGCUUUGUCUGAGUCCAGAAAUGCACUUGAGCAAUCACAUGCAUAGUCCCACUCUUCUCCCUAUCCUUCCAACCACAUAUGCAUGGCCCUAUCUCAUCUCUCACCAAAAUCCACGCCUGCACACCCACGUAUCUCAUAUUCCGAACCCUAUAUCAAUACAAAUUCAUGCAACGUACUAUGUAGAUCACCAAACAACCAAAAUCGACAGGAAACAAACAUAUAAACUAAUACCAAACGGGCAUAAUUCACAUAAACAUCACCAAACGGGCAUAAGUCACACAGUUCAACGAUCUAGCACAUUGUAACUACAUACUAGAACUAAAUUAUAAACAACAGGAGCGAGCUUCACCACUCCUUCGCAGCCCUUUACCCUUCCGGUCGCCAGCGCAACUGUAGGAGUCCGUGGCAAGAGGUGGAUCCACAUCGAAGUCGUCGGACCCGUCUUCGAAGGAGGAAUCGGAGAUGACGAUGUAGCAUUGCAAGCGCUCAACGAUGCGGUCUUGCUUGUGCUUGAGCUUGGCCAUCCUCGCCGCCGCCUCCGCCGCCUCCUACUCGAAUUGCUCAAUGUCGAGCCAGACCUGCUUGAUGUUGAUCCUCCACGGACACUGACCGGGCACUCCCUAAAUCCGCGCCUCCACACCCACGUAUCUCAUAUUCCGAACCCUAUAUCCAUACAAAUUCAUGCAACAUACAAUGUAGCUCACCAAAUGACCAAAGUCGACAGGAAACAGACAUAUAAACUGAUACCAAACGGGCAUAAGUCACACAGUUCAACGAUCCGGCACAUUGUAACUAAAUAAUAGAACUAGAUUAUAAACAUGAGAGGGCGAGCUUCACCACUCCCUCGCCUGCCCUUUGACAUUUCGGUCAGCGACGCAGCUGUAGGAGUCCGUGGCAAGAGGUGGGUCCAUGUCGAAGCCGUCGGAACCGUCUUCGAAGGAGGAAUCGGAGAUGACGAUGUAGCCUUGCAAGCGCCGGACGACGCAGUCUUUCUUGUGCUUGAGCUUGGCCACUCUCGCCGCCUCUGUCGCUACCUCAGCCGCCUCCCACUCGGAUUACGCAAUGUCAAGCCAGAGCUGCUUGGCGUUGGUCCUCCGGAGCCGUCGUGCCUUGUCUCCGCCUUAGUAAGUGACCGACGGCACACCCACUCGAGGAGACGCUCCUCAUCAUCGGGCGCUGGCAUCACGUGGCGGCGCCGGGCAGACUGCAUAGCCAUGGCGGACCCGCCACCCAUCUCCCUUGCCCCUCUGCCUCUCGCGACGGGCGACAUGUGCCUCCGACUCCAAAAUUUGCAUCUGCAGCAUCGGCGGAGCGGACACUAGAACCACCGUUGCCCGUGCGGAGCAGCGGCCAGAGGUCGAAGAGGCCGUCGGGCGGGAGCAGCAAAUUGGGUAGGCCUCGCAAAUCCGCUUGCGGGGCAGGAAGGGCUGGCGCUGUGGCGAUGGGCGAGUGUGUGUUGAGCCUCUCAAGUAUGUCCGACGGAUCGAGUGUCUUGAAAUCAGGGUGUUCUUGUAUCAUCAGGGCUAAGGUGUCAAAUGAGUUGUCAAGAGAUCGCAGUAGUGUCUUCACUAUUUCAUGCUUCGUAAUGUCAGUUGCACCGAGUGCACGGAGCUCAUUUGUGAUAUCCGUGAGGCGAUCAAAUGUAAGCUGGACUUUCUCAUAGCCGUGUCUUUUGAAGCAGUUGAAGAGGUUGCGGAGAGUACUGAUUCGUUGAUCUCGCUGAGUUGAGACGCCUUCAUUGACUUUGGAGAGCCAGUCCUAGACUAGCUUCGACGUUUCCAGAGCGCUCACACGGCCAUACUGCCCUUUGGUCAGAUGACCACAGAUGAUGUUCUUGGCUGUAGAGUCCAGUUGAAUGAACUUCUUGACAUCAGUAUGGGUGACACCUUCACCGGUCUUGGGAACGCCAUUCUUGACAACAUACCACAGAUCGACAUCGGUGGCUUCAAGAUGCAUGCGCAUCCGAUUCUUCCAGUAGGGAUAUUCAGUGCCAUCAAAGAUGGGGCACGCAGCGGAGACCUUGAUUAUUCCUGCAAUCGACAUAGCUAAAACUCUAGGUGGUUAAACCGAAUCACACAGAACAAGGGAGUAUCUUGCUCUGAUACCAAUUGAAAGGGAUAUUUAUCGACUAGAGGGGCGGGUGAAUAGGCGAUUUUUAUGAAAGUCUUUAAAACAUGGGAGUUUCAAAGACAAACAGUAGAAAAAACACUAUUCCUAUGCAGCAGAAGGUAGACUAGACUAGACACGCCAUAGUCAAGUAUUCAAUGAAGUGAAACCACGAAGACUAUUAGCAGCUAGGUAGUAAAGAUUAGGGUGGAAGAUAGUAUGAAGGCAAUCAAGACAAGUAGUCACACAGUAAAGUCAAACAGAUUAUGCAAGCAGGCAAUGACUUCAUGAAGACAAACUGUAAGUAAGGAGAAGUGAGAGAUAGAACCAGUAGCUUCAGGAAGACAGUGGUUUGUUCGACCAGUUCCAGUUGCUGUGACAACUGUACGUCUGGUUAGAGAGGCUGAGAUUUAACUCAGAAGACUGCGUCUUCACCUUAUUCCCCUUGAGCUAAGGACUCUGAGUCCCUGCCCAAUCACUCUGGUAAGUCUUCAAGAUAGACUCCCAAACCUUCACAGGCUUCGUUCACCGGCAAUCCACAAUGACUCUUGGAUGCUCAGAACGUGACGCCUAACCGGCUGGAGGAUUCACAGUCCUCAAGUGAAAUAAGUCUUCAGAUCACGCGGACAGAAGGACUUAAGUGAUGCCAAACUCUCUUUGGACUCUGGGCGGUUUGGGCUUUGUCCUCGCAAGGAUUCUCUCUCAAAGGCUUCGGAGGUGGGUUGCUCUCAAGCGACAAAAGUCGUAUACUAACUCUGAGCAGCAACCAAUUUAUGGUGUAGGGGGUGGGAUAUUUAUAGCCAUUGGGCAACCCGACUUGAUUUGUCCGAAAUGACCCUGGGUCACUAAGGAACUGACACAUGUCGCAAUGGUCAGAUUUCAACCACACGCGGCAGCUUGACUUGGGCUACAAGUAAAGCAGACUUAUCCGACUCUGGAUAAGAUUUGUACUCAUUGUCUUCGCUCGAAGACACAUGAUUUGGUUGAGCAUCACUUCAGUCACUCUGACUUUGUUCACUUGGACCCCACUUAACAGUGCGGUGGUUCUUAUGACUCAACAAAGAAGAAAAGAAACAACGAAACAACUAAGUCUUCGUGCUCCAUAGUCUUCAGACAUUGUCUUCUCAUGUGAUAGUCUUCAAUGUGAUUAGCUUCACAGACCACCAUUGUCUUCAAUGUCUUCACACAUUUUUAGGGGUCAUCUCCGGUAGGUAAACCGAAUCAAUGAGGGACUACUACCUGUGUUAUCCUGCACUUCUCACAAACAAAUUAGUCCCUCAACCAGGUUUGUCGUCAAUACUCCAAAACCAACUAGGGGUGGCACUAGAUGCACUUACAAUCUCCCCCUUUUUGGUGAUUGAUGACAAACUGGUUGAAGUUUUUAACGGGGAUAAAAGUAUGUGAAAUUGUAAAGGAUUAAGGCAUUGUCUUCAUAAGUGGCAAAAUGCUCCCCCUGAAGAUGUGCAUAUAAAUGUUUUGCGCUGGAAUGCAAAUGCACAUGGCAGGCUGUACUUGUGGAGAUCCUCCUCACCAUAUGAAUAUAAUACAUCAUGCAUGAACAAAUAUACAGGGAUAAUGACAUGCAUAAUGAAAGAUGGAUGUCUGCGAAAUGACUUCAUGCAGGAUUUAUCAUCGCACAUGUGGAAUUUAUCGUCGCAUCACAGAAUAGCAGUAAAAAGUAGCAGACAACCAUCGAGUUUAAGUGUUACAACUCAAAUAACCAAAUGUAUCAAAACGGGAGUUGUAAACACUAGGCAAAAGUAUAGUGACCACCCAUAUGGACCCGCUUUAAGACUAUCAACCUAUGCUUCUCCCCCUUUUGUCAGUAAGGACCAAAAAGGUUUGAAGACAUAGUCGCUACUCAUUCCCAUGAGAAGUAGGUGAAGCAGUAGGGUCGUCGUUGAGGUUUGGUGGUGCAGAAGAACUUGGUGCAGUGUCGAUACACGCUGAUGUUGGAGGUGGUGAAGUAGCAUCAUCAGAUUCAUCAAUAACUUUGGCAUUUACCGUGGCUGCGGAGGAAGAGUAAUCUGAGUCUUCAAGAGAUGGAGUUCGACGCAGGACAACAUUCCUUGGAGGAGUGGAGUCAAACUUGAAUCUCUCGGUGAAGCCAUCGUCUUGAAGAUCAGCUUCAGCACUGAGCAAUGUCAAACCCUUCCAAGUCCUCCGAUAGGUUUCAUGAGUAACAAAGGCGUUCUUGGUGGCAAGGUUGCGAAUGCGAUUUACAUCCACCAAGAGGCUUUGCAUUUGUCAUUUCAGCCAGUAGUGAUGAUUGUCAUGUUUCUGAUGCAAGGCCACUAGAAGCUCUCGGUCAUUGAGCACACGAGAUCGCUUCCGAGUCCUUGGAGCAAUGGUGCUUUCUGUGGCUUCAGUACAUGCACGGCGAGUGUUGUCGGCCAAUGGAUAGACACAAGAAGUAGCCUGAACACCUUCAACAUGCUGAGUGAAACUCUGACGAUUGACAUUGUGAAGAUAUAUCGCCUCCUUGGCAGGCUCUUGGUAGAUGGCUUCGACUGACAUAUCAACAUCUGGCAGGAAUAUAAGAUGGUUGCGUGCAGAGGGCUGAUAGUUAACAGCAGAGUGAAGCUUGAUCAGACGCAUAACCCAAGGAGCAUAAAAUUUCAGACCAAAGAUGUUAGAGUCAGAUGCAGCAAACUGUCGAAUGAAGAAAUCCUGAGCAUUGAAGCUUUUGCUAUUGAGAAUGUAGAAGACCAAUGUCUUCAUUGCACCUUCAAGCCUUGCUGAGGAGGAAUGCCCUUUGAUGGGCCAUAGAGUUCGCCUUAUGAUGUGAUAGAUGGUGCGGGGCAGAUACUCUAGGUCUUGAACAAAGAAUUCCUUGGGAUAUUCGGCAUCCCGAGGCAGUGGCUUCAUCAUGCUCAGCAUUUGGCUCAUGUUGGGCUCUGGCUUCUGAAAGAUGAUCUCCAAUGCAUCGCGGUGAAGCUGACAACCAGGCUCAUAGAGUUCACCUGGAGUGGAUAGGCCGGUAAGCUCAAUGAGAUCAUAAGCUUUGGCUUCAUGAUGUACAUUGCCUGUCAUCCACUCAAGGACCCAUGUCUUCGGAUCCUUGUUGAAGCCGCGAAUGUGGAGGGUUGCAUAAAACUGGAGCAGAAGCUCUUCAUUCCAAUGCUCCUUAUAAGUGACAAACUAUAGCAGGCCUGCAUCUUAGAAACAGUCAAGUGCUUCUUCUAAGCAGGGCAGGCCAGCAAUGGCUUCGGAAUCCAGUCGCAUAUGAGGGAAUAUGCGCCCUUGGUUGUAUAGAAUGCAGGAGUAAUAGCUUCGUUGUUGAUAGCUCCAGAACCGAUGAGAUGAUAUUCUUGGCUUGGAAUAUGGGUUCUUGGCACUAUCAAAGAAGGUGUUGUGUGCAAUGAAGCCAUUUACAUUGAAUGAUCCUGGUGCAGAUGCAGUACCUAGAAACCUUGGCAGCCUUGGUUUAGGCUUCUGAACCUGAGGCAUGUGCUCCACAUGAUAGUCAAACUGUGGUCCGGGAGUAGGCGGAGGUACCAGAAUUGGCCAUCUUACUAUGACCAGCUCGCCUUGAUAGAAUGUUUACUCAAUGGUAUGAGGCCUUGGAGGCGGGACAGGAGCAGAGGCAUUAGCAGAGGCGUUAGGCUGCAUAGUGGUUGUAGGUGCAACAUUGGCUUUAUUCACAAUAUUGACUAUAGGCACCACAUUAUCUUCACCCAUGACCUCGUCAUUGGCGUCAGUAGUGUUGUUGGUGGCCGCCUCAGGAUUUUCAACCUCCACUUGAGUAGCUGGAGGGUUGGGCAUGGACACAUUCUCCUCGAGAAUAUCUUCUUCUUGAUUGGUGGGGGGGGGGUGGCAACAUGUUCUUCUUCUUGUCUUUCAUCGGCUGCUGCAGCCGGAAUUUCUUCAGAAGCAUUAGCUUCAGACACAGGAACCGUCACAGAAGGAUUAUCUUCAGGGAACACUUGACGUGCCACUGAACUGGACUGGUGAGAAUCCUCUUCUGUGAUGUUUGUCAUGGAGACCGAUGGCCUCCGGCCUUUACGAAGCCGUUGAAACACGGGCGAUGCUUUCGAUGAUGGUGCGGUCUCCAUGUAAUUUUCGUCAUUGACAAUUGGGCUGGGAACUUGCGUUGGUGAGGGACGGGGUGUACUUGGUGAGUCUUAAACUGGGGUUGCUGGUUGGGGGCGAUCAGCCUAUGAGGCAUCCUGAGUGAUUGGUGUCAAGGGACGACCAAUACUGAUGGGUUCGCUGUUCAUGUGAACUGGCGAUGAUACCGUGGGGCGCUGGAUCUGAGGAAGGACUUCAUCAUCUUCUACAUUGUUUUGAGGACCAACGUCUUCAGUCGCGAUGGGGUCAACGACUGGAACAUCUUGAGCUUCAGGAGCCUCUGUGGAAGCAGGCUCAUGAAUAAUCAACUGACGCUCUUGAUUUUCAUAUGCAGUGGGAGGAAAAGCAAUGGGCUCGACAACAAGGGGCUCUUUGGGUGCAAUCCGAUCUCUCUUCUUGGUCUUCCUCUUCCUGGGGGGUGGUGCAUCACCAGUGGUGUUCUUGGUUUUUCUCUUUCUGGCUUCGGCUUCAGCUGCCCUGGUUUUCUUCUGUUCUGAAGCUGCUCUUGGGACCUUAUGCUUCGAGCCUGUCAUGCUGGCAGGGAAGACAAUGCGUGGUUCUUCCCUCCGUGGAGCUUCAGUUGGGGCCACAACAGACUUCUUCUUGGCAGCCAUCUUGGGGUCAAUGCCUGGACGCCCAAGAGCCUUGCGCUUUUCAGCUUCAUUGUAAGCUUGAACACACUUGGCAGCAAGAUUCUUCAUGCGUUCUCUUGAGCCUUUGGCUUCUUCGCGCUUCGUGCGAAACGCCUCCUUGAGAUCAUUCGGCAUCAGCUUGAACUUCUGAACAUCAGCCACACUAAGCUUGGCCACAUGCUUCUUGAACUGUUCUUUUUCAAAGUCAAUUUUAUUCUUCAGUUCAACAAUGCCUUGAGCCAGAGCCAGCUCAGGAGCAAUGGCGCCUUGAAAGGCGACGAUGAUGCCAAUCGGGAGCUGAAGAUCAUCAAAGCUAAGAUCUGGGUUGUCAAACCACUCAUCAAUGAAGUUAUUCAGAAUGUUUAUGUCAAAGAGGGGCAGAUCAUUGAAGAUCUCCGCCUCUUGCUUGCUCUUCACCGGCUGCUCAAGAGCAUCCUCACCAAACUCGUCGUCUGACGAUAGAUCAAUAGAUUCAGAUUCGUUCCUUAGAAUGGCAGCUGGUGCCAGUGCUUGACUUGUCCUCUGAGCAGUUCUCUUCUGAGGCUUCUCGUUCCGUUUGGAGACAUGAGAUUGAUCUUCAGCGGUGUUACUUGGAGCAGGAGGGGCAGUUGCCAAUGGCUUCACUCGAGAAGCUUUUGGUCUAGCACUUGGUUUGGAAGCCUUAGCUUUCUUCUGCUUCUGUGGUUUAGGAGGAGGAGCUGGUGCAUCUUUAGAGUCAGCAUCAUCACCAGAAUGAUCUACGUUUGCACCUUGAACGGCAAUGUGCGACCGGAGGCCUUCGAAGUUGUACAAGGGGCCGAUCUUGUUUUCAUUGGCUUCAUGGGUGCCAUCUUCCCGUGGAGAGGACGGACUUGGGUUGAAGUCAAGUCCGAAUGCCUUCUUAUUCUUCACAGCAGAGUCUUUUACGAACUGGUAGUUGCGCUUGAAUAGAUGGUCUUCACGGCACCACAGUAGAGAAGAGGGGUCAGCAUUCUCUGGCUGUGACCCGCGAACCAUGCACGGAUAGAAGCCUCGCUCAAUAGCUUCAGUCUGGGACCUGGGUUGAAGAUUCUUGUACAGUAUAUCUCCCCAGGGUUGCUUGAUGGCAUUCUUUUCUGCAUAGUCUUCUGUGACAAAUCGAUACUUGAACCAUUCCUCAGCCCAGUAUCUUCGAAUCCAUUGGAUUCGAUUCUUGCGUCCUGUAUAGGUUUCCUGUGGGUCUAUUUUGUACAGCUCGUGCAAAUCUGGAGGCAAAUCCUUGGAAUUGUUCCCACGAUGCUUUCUGCCACCCUUUCUUGCUGGUUUCUCAGUAGCCAUGAAGCUUAACCUGAAAGGCUUCAGAACUUGCAAAGGCUUCUUACGGCUGGUCAGACAAGAACUUGCUUCGGGAGAAUUUAUAUGACUCUGUAAGAACUCUGCAAAUGAAUGCAGACUAUGAGAACCAAGGGAUUCUCCCACGGACAUGUACCUGUGACAGCAUUAGAGGUGCGAGGGAAGGGGAAGAGGUCAUAUGCAUUCUCAGAAGAUUUUGAAGAUAAAUCAGUUUGAAGACAUUGACCACAUAACGUGAAGACAUUCACUUAUUUGAUGAGAGUUGGUUCUAGAUUUGUACGAAUCCAAGCAUAAGUACAAGUGAGGAAUCUAACUUGUAGAGAAGUAUAAGUGAACAUACUAGGCAUAGUAUGAGAUGCAGAAAGAGAUAGAUUCAACUUUGGAGAUCCAGAAACUACUUUUGGUAAAGAAGGAUGAAUCUAUCAGAUCGAAAAGAUGGUAAAAAGUGAAUUUUAAUUACCACACGAGGAACUGCUAGACGGAGCGAAGUUGGAGGCCGAGCAUAUCGAUCUUCCGUGCCCUAACUUGACGACGGAGGACACCUACGGCGAUGGCGGAGAGGACGAGGUCCGCGACCGACGUGAGGACGGCGUCGGAGAAGUCGCGACAACUAAGCGCUUUGUCGCCAGCGUAGUCGAGAACUAGCGGUGGCGCUAGGGUUUUCGAGAGGUGGCGACGUGGAAGAAGAAUUUUUGACCGAGAUGAGACGGGUAUUUAUAAGGAAAGAGACAACACAACACAAUUACGCAGGUGCCCCUCGCGAUUCACAUCUGAAGGACACGUGGCAAGCAUGCAACUCCUUGGUAGUUGUUCCAUGUUCCCACGCAUGCCUGGAUUGUCAGGGUGCUCGUUCCGAAUUCUUUGGAUUUGAGGCAAUAAAGAUAGAGAAUUAAAAACAGAUAUAAAUGUUUGUCAGAUUGACUUCAGCUGACAAGGUCUCAGUGAAGACAAUCGAUAGUUUUCAAUAGAAUGCAUAUGAUUUGGACAGAUAGAGUUGAGGUAGAAGCAUAGAUAGGUUAGGGUCCGAUCACAUUCACUUAGAUCAAAAGAUUCAGCACAAAACCAUAGCUAUAAGUGAAUGUUGUAGAGGACAGAACAUAAGUAUACUACCAAAUAAAGAUAAAUCAAUUUCAAAGACUUUGCAAAUAUAACGCCAAGAAUACACUUCAAACAAAAGUUUGGUGGUGGCGUUACCCACCGUAUAGGAAGUAUUAGACCCAGACACGGCGCACAAUUAUCGUGGCGCUCCGAAGUCAAAUUCCGCAUUAAUGUAUUCACACUUAGAGUGUAUAUCUUCAUUGAUUGAAGAUAUACGUUACUUUGUGUGUUGCACAUCUAAGUCAUCAAAAUGCAUAAGUGUUAGGAUGUGUGUCCAAUUCACUGGACAUUUGAGGAUUCCAAGAUAUUUAGCUCACACCACAACUUGCAAAACCUUUUCUCAUCCAAGGGCUUUGUGAAGAUAUGAGCCAAUUGCUCUUUAGUGUUGACGUGAAUGAUAUCAAUAUCUUCCUUCAUGACAUGAUCUCUGAGAAAGUGAUGACAAAUCUCAAUGUGCUUUGUCUUCGAGUGCUGAACUGGGUUGUUGGCAAUCUUGAUGGCACUCUCAUUGUCGCAGUAGAGAGGCACAUUCUUCAGGUGUAUACCAUAGUCCUUGAGAGUUUGCUUCAUCUAGAGAAGCUGAGCACAGUAAGAUCCAACAGCAAUGUAUUCGGAAUCAGCAGUGGAGAGAGAUACACAGUUCUGCUUCUUUGAAGACCAACAGACAAGUGAUCGUCCCAGAAAAUGACAUGUGCCUGAUGUGGACUUGCGAUCAACCUUGUCACCAACAUAAUCAGCAUCUGAGAAUCCAACUAGAUCAAACUCUGAGCCUUUUGGAUACCAUAAUCCUAGUGUUGGGGUGUAAGCCAAAUAUCAAAGAAUUUGCUUCAUAGCUAAGUGAUGUGAUUCCUUUGGUGCCGCUUGGAAUCGGGCACACAUGCAAACACUAAGCAUUAUAUAUGGCCUAGAUGCACAUAAAUAAAGCAAAGAACCAAUCAUGGAGCGAUAUACCUUUUGAUCGAACUCUUUACCAUUGGCGCCGGGACCCAGAUGACUUUUAGUUGGCAUUGGCGUCGUGUAUCCUUUGCAGUCUUGCAUUCCAAACUUCUUCAGGCAAUCUUUGAGAUAUUUUUCUUGAGAGAUGAAGAUGCCGUUUUGUUGCUGAUGGAUUUGGAGACCCAGAAAGAACUUCAGUUCACCCAUCAUGGACAUCUGAUAUUGCUCUUGCAUCAUGUGACUAAACUCAUCACUGUAUUUCUUGUUGGCGCAGCCGAAGAUAAUGUCAUACACAUAGAUUUGGCACACAAACAGUUCACCAUCAUAUGUCUUCGUGAAGAGAGUAGGAUCUAGUGAACCAGGUUUGAAGCCUUUGCUCAUCAGGAAGUCUUUGAGCGUAUCAUACCAAGCACGAGGGGCUUGUUUGAGGCCAUACAGUGCCUUGCUGAACUUUUAUACCAUAUCAAGAUAUUUUGGAUCUUCAAAGCCAGGAGGUUGUGCAACAUAUACUUCUUCUUCUAUCUUUCCAUUGAGAAAGGCACUCUUCACAUCCAUUUGAUAUAGAAGGAUGUUGUGAUGAUUUGCAUAGGCAAGCAGUAUGCGAAUGGCUUCAAGCCUUGCCACCGGAACAAAUGUUUCAUCAAAGUCAAUUCCUUCCACUUGUGUGUAACCUUGUGCAACGAGACGAGCUUUGUUUCUGACCACUUGACCAUGCUCAUCUUGCUUGUUGCGAUAUAUCCAUUUGGUGGCAAUGAUAUUGUGCUUCCGAGGAUCAGGACGCUUGACCAGUUCCCACACAUUAUUCAGCUCGAACUAUUGAAGCUCUUCUUGCAUAGCUUGAAUCCAUUCAAGUUUCAUAAAGGCUUCCAUGACUUUCUUGGGUUCUGAGAUUGAGACGAAUGCAAAAUGCCCAUAGAAAUUGGUAAGUUGUGUUGCUCUUUGUGUAGCCCUUGAACGAGUGAGUGGACCAGGUGCAUUGAGGCUAUCGAUCAUCUUCUCAAUCUAUACUUCAUUUGCAACAUGAGGAUGGGCAGGACAAAGAUUUUUUUCAUUCUGAUCAAUGUCAUCAUUUGAGGGAUUGUCUUCAGAUUGAGCAUUGUCUUCAGGUUGAGUGGAUGCAGAAACGAUCAAUUCUUCUUCAGUCUGAUUCUCAAAAGGUAUGAUCUCUCCAGUUCCCAUCUGCUUGAUUGACUCGCUAGGGGGUAAUUCAUCUAGCACAUUUGGCAGGUGCUCUCUUUGCGAGCCAUUAGUCUCGUCGAACCGCACAUCCACAGUUUCAACCACUUUAUAGUGAAAGAUGUUGAAGACUCUGUAGGAGUGUGAAUCCUUUUCGUAACCAAGCAUAAAACCUUCAUGUGCUUUCGGUGCAAAUUUUGAAGUGUGAUGUGGAUCCUUGAUCCAGCACUUAGCACCAAAUACUCUGAGGUAACUUACGUUUGGCUUCUUACCAGUUAGGAGCUCAUAGGAGGUUUUCUUCAGAAGCUUGUGGAGAUAAACACGGUUGAUGACGUGACAUGCAGUGUCAAUGGCUUCAGGCCAGAACUUCCAUGGAGUCUUGUACUCAUCAAGCAUCGUUCGGGCCAUCUCAAUAAGAGUUCUGUUCUUGCGCUCCAUGAUGCCAUUUUGCUGAGGUGUGUAGGGAGCAGAGAACUCAUGAGUGAUACCCAUGGUAUCCAGAUAGAGAUCGAGACUAGUGUUCUUGAACUCAGUGCCGUUGUCACUUUUGAUGUGCUUGAUCUUGACGCCAUAAUUCGUCAUGGCACGCUUGGCAAAGCGUCUGAAGACAUCCUGCACUUUAGUCUUGUAGAGGAUUAUAUGCACCCAAGUAUAUCGAGAGUAAUCAUCAACAAUGACGAAGCCAUAGAGGCAAGCAGUAGCAUUGAGAGUAGAGUAGUGAGUAGGGCCAAAUAAGUCCAUGUGCAGCAGCUCGAAGGGUUGAGAUGUAGUCAUGAUUGUCUUCAAGGGAUGCUUGGCUCUUGUCAUCUUUCCGGCUUCGCAGGCACCACACAGAUGAUCCUUCUUGAACUUGACGCCUUCGAUGCCCACAACAUGCUUCUUCUUUGCGAGAGUGUGCAAGUUUCUCAUGCCAGCAUGCCCUAGCCUUUGAUGCCAAAGCCAGCAUUGUAAAGCUUUUGCUAGAAGACAUAUGACCAUUUGUGGUCCUGCUGAGAAAUCUACCAUAUACAGAUCAUCUUUUCGAUACCCUCCAAAGACUAGAGACUUGUCAGAUUCCAUUAGUACAAGGCAACGAUAUUUUCCAAAUAGCACAAUCAUGUUUAAGUCACAAAGCAUUGAGACAGACAUUAAGUUAAAACCAAGGGAUUCAACAAGCAUCACUUUAUCCAUGUGCUGAUCCCUUGAUAUUGCACUCUACCUAGACCUAAUACCUUGCUUUUACUAGUGUCAGCAAAUGUGAUGUGGCUCUUGUCUGAAGGACGUAGCAUUGAAUCUAUCAGAAGACUUCGAUCACCAGUCAUGUGAUUAGUGCAUCCACUGUCCAUAAUUCAUUCUGAAGCACGAGGUGUCGUAGCCUACAGUGCAGUUUGGGGGAUAGGCUUCACCAAGCGAGCUGUGAAGCAGAAACAUUUGACGAAGAAGUGGAACAUGGAAAUUCAGGUCUUGGUUAGGAUAGAUAGGAUGAGUGUCAAGGAAAUCUUGAGUGAAAUACAUGGUAAGACCAUUUGGGCAUUUAUCUUGCGCCCUACAAGAUUUUUAAGGUCUCCAGCUUUAGCUUUGGAUGCCUUUGAUUUCUGGCUGGAGACCUUUCCCUGCAAAAGAGAGUUAAGUUUUCUUAACCACCCACAUCUUCAGGGGUGGCUUAGAAGCAAUGAGUCUAAGUGCAGCAUCUGAGAAUUUUGGCUUCGGAGCCCUAGUAAAUAGCCUUGCAGGGGGUGAAUAAUACUCAUAUGGAUAAGCAGAAAAGUUCUUGGUUCUAUGAACAUAGCGGUUUAGUGAAACACGCUCAUAUUCAUGGGUCUGAGUAUGAUUUUCCUGCAAAACAUUGACGUUAGGGUGACUCAGAUGAGUCCUCGGUCUGUAUGAAGCUUUUGGACCAUAUGAAGCCUUUGGUAUGGGGUUUGUCUUCUUCACAGGUGGUGUCAUGAUGACAUUCACGGGAAGAUUCUCAAGACAACUUUUGGGUACCCAUAUCUUCUUCAUAGGUGGCCCAUUCCUGCAGUUAGUACCAAUGUACCUGGCAAACACUUCACCAUUCUGAUUCUUAAACAAUUUAUAGUUUGCAUGAAAGGAUUCAUUAAUGAUAAUAGGGUUAGCACAAGUGAAGCCAGAUAAGGAGGGUGGAUCCACUGAAGGUUCCUUUGCAGCAACCCAGGUGGUUUUGGG
rnacentral:lncRNA from 1 species